rnacentral:lncRNA from 1 species
CGCAACUUCUUUUAAAGCAUUCCUCCAUCUUUGUACCAUGUUGGUUUCGGACUUGAAGUUUUGUUCAUGUUGGGUAAAUGCUUCUGCAUAACUUCCCGUCUGGUUCUUGACUUGACUGGGAUCCACAUCAUAGAAAACUGGCAACACACUAUGUUUAGAGGAUUUCUUGUGCUCCAAUAUCAUUACAAGUUCGUUAAGACACCAUGUGGAUGCAGCAUAAUUCUUUGAGAAAACAACGAUAGAAAUUUUGGAGUGGUGUAGUAUUGCUUUUUCAAUUUCAUCUUUUAUGUUAUUCCCUCUCUCGAUUUCCUCAUCAUCUCUAAAUGUUUGAAUUCCUAAGUGCACCAAAGCUGUGUAAAGAUGAUCCGUGAAACUUUUACGCGUAUCUUCACCUCUAAAACUCAAGAAUACAUGAUAACUACAUCGCGAGAUUUCUGACACUGUCAUUGAAGAAGAAAAUGAAGUUGUCCUGUAUUUUUAUGUAAUAACAAGGUUCCAGCAUAUAUAUAUAUAUAUAUACAUAUACGGAUGGAAAAGCAGAUAUUAGUAGCUGUCAAGUGGCAGUUCAUGGUGGGUCAAUCCUUCCACCGAAGAAAUUCAUGUCGACCAUGUUCCAAUCGCUUUUCAUUUCGGAGUCAUGCUUACGGUCCAUUUGGUGCUCAACAUUUUUAUUAAAAAUAUUAUUUGAAUAGAGUUUUUCAACAGAGGUAAAAGUUGUACACUAUAAAAAAUAUAUAUUAUCAGACCUUAAACAAUGAUUUGUCGGCCUUAAAUUAGCAAUUAAAGAGGAUGGGAUAAGGGUAAGGUUGAGUAAUUGAUCCAAAAUUUCAUGCUGAGGGCAACUAGCACAAAAUUGUUUAAAUAUUUUCCAAUACUCAUUAAGGAUCUUCAUAUCCUUUUUGUGGUAUGCCAUAGAUUUCUUUCCUAAUUGAAGCACCAAGUGAAGAAAAAGAAAAUUCAACGAAUAUUCUUACCAUAUCUAUUUCAAAAUUUUAAUAUAAUUAAUGAAAAACAAUUUAUAUAUAUGAAUCAUCAAAUUUGACGUGCUUAGAGAAUCUCAUGUGAUAGCUUGAUGAUUAAGGUUGUUCAUCACCCUAAAUGUGGCCUAGAUUUGAAUCGCGCUACUUACAUUUGUUAUUCGAGCAUUACUUAUUAUUGUAAUUCAAAAAAAAUUUAACGUGCUUAAAUAAAUAUUGAAUUUUGUCACAUUUAAUAUAGAGGACAUGAGAGGAGGAGAAUAAUUCCCAAGUACUUGGUGUGGAAAAUAGUGGUACUAGAAAACGCGUUUCAAUUACUUUUCAUUUUGGAGUUUCCAAGACUUGAGACCAUUAGCAAUUAAAGAGGGGCUUCAACAAAAUUCUGGCCCCAACUGUUUCACCUAACAUAAUAAAUUCGUGGGCUAACCAAUUUCAGUGCAAUAAAAGCAGUGAAGAGGAUGGGAUAAGGUUAAGGUUUAAAUUGUUGGUAAUGCAAAGUGGAAUCCCUCGUUACAGCCUUCAAAUUUUUUGGUUCACAAUAUUUUAGGAAGAACUCGAUUCAAAUAAUAUUUUUCGUAAUUAUUUUUCUCAAUAAUAUUAUCUUUAAAAUUUAGAUCUAUAUUUUUCUUAAAAGUAUAAUAUGUUUUACCAUUAUAUUUAACACUUACUAAUUAUUCAAAUAAUAAUAUUAACAAAAAGGUUGAGCACCAAAUGGUUGAUAAGUACUAACAAGCUCAUGGUCUAAAGUCUAGAUCGAGUAGCACUAUUAUCCAAAACAUAGUGAAACAAAUUAAUUCUGUCUCCGACGUUUGUUAUAGAGAACUCUACAACCUAGUGCUACUAAUUAUCAAUUUUAUUGUUGUGACUCCAUAACUAAAAUUUAGCUGACCCCUUCAUUCAAGAGUGUAAUUAUUCGAAUAGGAUCAUGUCUCUUUAUGCUGGAACACUAAUUCAUUUUAUUACAUGAAUUUGUUCAUAAAAAUUCUCUUAAAAUAUCAAACAAAUAUCAGUUGGGUGUUCUGAUUUAAAUAUUUAGUUUUUAAGAGAAUAUAUUCUUACCUCAUUAUGCCUUCUCGAAGAUUUAUGUCAAAUCCAAACUGAUGUGAGUUGGUAGCCAUAUAUUUUUAUUUUUAAGGAUUUUAGUCCCUCUAUUUUUUUGAGAUUUCAAAACUCAAAUCCAAUUGUUAACACUGUUAAUUUUUUUUGUUAAAUUCAAGUUAAUUACAACAUCAUUUUUGUAAUUACGUGGUUACCAAAUAAGUUUUUUUUUAAUUUCAAAAUGCCACCCUAACACAUUUAACAAAAAAAUUUAAAAUGUUAACCAUCGGAAAGUAAAGAGACUAAAUUUCUGGAAAUAAAAGUACGUAUUCUAAACUCCAAAAUUUUUAAAAGUACAAUAACUUAUGGCAUAUUUUAACCUUUUAACUUCUGGGUCGAGCUACUCAUCCAAUCCCCGCUCGAGAUUUGGGAGGAUUUAGACAAAAUUAUCAAGCUCAAAAAAUGGACUUGGACAAAAAGUUAGUCCAAUUUAAAAUACGAGUCGGGCUCGGGCAUAAAAAUUCAAGGCCUGAGCCAUUUACUAAUUUUCUAAUAUAUUAUAUUAUGUUAUUUUUAUAAAUUAUAUAAUUUAUUUCAAAAAAUAAAUCUAUAGUAAUACAUAUGAUACUAUAAUGUAAACAUUAAAAAAUGUUAAGAUGUCUAUAUAAAAUGUUAAGAAAUUUGGGAAAAAAAUUCAAUUCAAUCAGGCUCAAAACAAUUUGUGGGUCAAUUAAUUUAACAUCUCUAUUCAAAUCGACAAUGGCGAAACCUAAUAGAGGCCCAGGGGGCCAUGGCACCCCCAAGGAUUAAAAUUUUUGCAAUUUAGCUCUUUGUAGAUAUACUAUGGCCCUCCCAAACAUAUAAGUAGCCCCCAAGGUUUAAGAUUUUUGCAAUUUUCCAAAAAUAUUGUUUCUUUUGGAUCUAUUAUCAUGUUGGAAUAGUGCUUCUUUUGAGUCAAUUCUUUACAUGUUUAAAUCGAUUGUCAAGUUGGAACACUACGUCUUUUGAAUAAAUUGUGUAUAUGAUUAAAUUGAUUGUUAUGUUGGAAUACUGCUUCUUUUUAAUUGAUUGUGUAUAUGAUUAAAUCGAUUAUUAUGUUGGAAUAUUACUUCUUUUGAAUCGAUUAUUUAUAUGUUUAAAUCGAUUGUUACAUAACACAUCUAAUUAAUUUGUUCUUUGCUUCUUUGAUUGUUGCGUAGCAUUUCCUUUUAUUCUUUAUUUCUUUAAUUGUUGGUUGUUUUAAAUCGCUUCUUUUCCUAAAAUGAUAAGGGACCAAAUGAAUAUCAGCAAAGAAUUUAUGUUGGAGUUUGAAUCGAUUCUUCGCUUAUUUCAAUUGAUUGUUUGUUGUUUUGAAUUAAUUCAUUAUUGUUUAAAUUGAUUCAAACUCUUACAUAAAUUCACUGUUGAUAUUCAUUUGGUCCCUUAUCAAUAUUGACUUACACAGGUGUAUGUAAGUUCUUUUUCCCUCAAACCUCCUGUUGUACGUGUGAAGCAAGAAAAGGUAUAUUUACGGUUGUUCUUACUCUAGAAGAGAAAUGAUUCCUCAUACUUUAUACAGUGUAUUUACAUAUUUGCCCUCAACCGAAUAUUGAGGGAAUCUCCCUUCACGUUUGACACGUUCGAUAGAAAGUUUAAGGGAAAACAACUAAUUUACACCGGUGUAUAUAAGUAUUGAUAACUCAUUGAUACCAAAUGUUUAGAUCAAAUCGAGAAAUCAUUAUAUAUUAUUUUCCUAUACUAUGUGUUAUGUUUAUUAAUAAAACAUGUUUUUAAUUUAAAUGAUAUACUAAAAACUGCUCAUCCACACAAUCAUUGAUAUGUUGAUUUAGGAUCCAAACUUGAAUCAUAUAUUCUUACGUAGUGAAACUAAAAAGGGCCUCGUCGCCAUUCUCCAUCUAUUCCUAUAUAUUCAUCUGUUCGGAAGAAACCGAACUUAACAAAACACCAUGAAAGCAUAAUCGAUAUUUUUUCACUUUUAAGAAAUAUAAGUUGUUAAUAAUAUCAAACCCAAUAAUACAGUAUAUCAACAAUCAAACCAAAUCAACGACCAUAACACAACCAAAAAAAAUAAAAUCAAUUCAUUAGGAAGGGUCUUCCACCUCAUUAUCUGCAUGAUUUUCAUAUGAAUCCAGUUGCAAAGUAACGGUGUUUAACACUUUGAAUCGGUUCAUUAUUGUUUGAACCGAUUCAAACUCCAGCAUAAAUUUAUUGUUUAUAUUCAUUUGGUCCUUUAUCAAUACUUGCACAACAUUUGUCCCUUAUCAAUACUUGCAAAAAAAUAACUUGUGAGUACUGCUUUUUUCGAAUAGAUUGUUUAUAUGUUUAAAUUGAUUGUCAUGUUGGAAUAUUGCUUCUUUUGAAUCGAUUGUUUAUAUGUUUAAAUCGAUUGUUAUGUUGGAAUACUGUUGCUUUUGAAUCAACUGAUUAUAUGUUCAAAUUGAUUGUUAUGUUGGAAUACUGCUUCUUUUGAAUCGAUUGUUUAUAUGCUUAGAUCAAUUGUUACGUAGCACGUCUAAUUUUAGCUUGGCCCCCAAGAUUAACAUCCUGGCUCCGCCACUACGGAUCGAUAUAUUAGUCAAUUCUUGAUUCAAUUGAUCGACUAAUCCUAUUUAAUCCGAUUUAAAUAACUAUCUCACAUAUAUACAUAUUUCUAAAAUAAUAUGUUAGUAUAAAAAUAUUUAAUCAAUUUGAGUUAUGAAAUUGUGGUCUAACAAUAGUUUUGGGUGUCUUAUAAACUCAAAAUUUUCAAAUUAUGCUGGUGUCCAUUUGUGCUUUAUGGUACAAGUUCUUUUUGGAGUUAUACCAUAUAUUAUAUAAUUUAAAAUAUUCUUAAAAAAUAGAUUGAAGUAAAUUAAGCCUAAAACUUAAAUGUUUAAGUCAAAGCUUAAUUGAUAGUUUAAAUGAGAUUAUUCUUUUUUUUUAACUCAUUUUUUUAAUUUUAUCAGACCGCCUCUAAAAAAUAAAUAAAAGAUUGUUGUUAGUCUUUUCCUAUAUAUGAGCAACAAUCUUUGGGCAGAGUAUAAAAAAUAGUUUUUGUAUUUUUUUUUUACGAAAUUAAGGUAUCUGAUUUUGCAGUAGACCUGUCCCGGGCUCGGAAAAAAUUUUCGGCCCGGCCCGACCAAAAAUAUGGGCCUAAAAUUUUGCCCAGGCCAGGCCUAGGAAAAAUAUCAUAAGCCCGAGCCCGGCCCGGCCCAUUUUUUAAUAAACAUUAAAAAAUUGUUUUAAAAAUAAAAAAAUAAAAAUAAAAAUAUUUUAAAAGUAUUUUAAAAUUAAAAAAUAAAAAUAAAAAAAUAUAUAUUUAUUAUAUUCGAGCCGGGCCCGGGCCAAAAAAGUGAUGCCCGAGGCCCGGCCCCUUUUUUAAACGGGCCUCGUUUUUUUGCCCAAGCCCAUAUUUCGGGCCUAUAUUUUUACCCGAACCCUCCCAUAAGCCCAACGGCCUGCCCGGCCCAUGGACAGGUCUAUUUUGCAGUGGUAACUAAUCUUUUCAUCGCGACUACUAUUCAAAAGAUAAUAUGUAAAAAAUAAAAUUCAAUAAAAUGGUAAUACAUAAUUUACUUGUAAUUACGGUACGUUUAGUUCGUUAGAAUGAAAUAAAAUUAUAAUAGAAUAACAUUUUUUAGGAAUGAAAUAGAAUUGUAAUUGAAUGGAAUAAAUAUGAUAAUUUGGUUGGGUAGAAUAUUUUUGUAUCUUGAUUUAAAAAAAUGAUAGUAAAAAUCAUCUAAAAAAAAGAUGAAAUUCAAAGUACAACACCAAGUCUUCAUCAAGCAGUGUACAUGUCCAAAUUACUAUAUUGAUUAAUAAUAAUAUUAAUAUUGAUUGAACUCCUUUUUUAAAUGGCUUAUGAGUAAAACUUUUUUAUUAGUUUGAAGAGUUGUGAGUUUAAUACCCUCUGAAUUAAUUCUUUAAUCAAUUUUCAAUUCAACCAAUUUAUCAGUCGAUCUAAUUCGGUUCAGACAACCCUAAUUAUAUGAAUUUCAAGCUGUUGAAGUUACAACUGAUAUUAAAAUAAAUCGGAACCUUCUCGGUCUCACCAAACUUACUCUAAACCAAGAGCAUAAAAAAUAAAAUAAAAAAAAUCCUCCUCUAAACCAUGCAGUGUCAGCAAUCAUAAGAUCUGUUAGUGAACCAUUGAGUAGAAACUAUAGAUGACAACAAGUGGGAACCCUCACCUUGUCAGAGAUCAUGAGAAGUAUUGAACUCUUAUAAUUAGAAUAAUCAAGUUCCACUGAAAAUAACGAUAUAAAAACGCAUACCAUGAACAUACAGUUCAUAAUAUUCUUUGAAGUUUUAGACUCUUGACAAUAACCAGAAAAGUCAAACACAAACACAGUACGUAUCUUCAGUUCAUAAACAUCCCAAUAAACCAUUGGGAUUCAAACACAAAACCAUCACACAAACACAUAUUGUCUGUAUCUUCAGUUCAUAAACAUCCCAAUAAACCAUUGACAUUCAAACACAACCAUCACACAAAUGCAUACUGACAAUAUCUUCAGUUCAUAAACAUCCCAAUAAACCAUUGAGACUGUAUUUCAAAGAAGCAAAUUACUCAACCCGUGGCUUUUUCUGCAACCUGGCUAGCUUCAGUUGGUUUUCUUUUAACUCAGCUUCGUCCUGAUCCAGCUUCAGUUUCUUCUCUUUUAAGUCAGCUUCGUCCUGAUCCAGCUUCAGUUUCUUCUCUUUUAAGUCAGCUUCAUCCUUCUCCAGCUUCAGUUUGUCUUUUCUAACAUUAGCUUUCCUCUUCUCAAAUCUCUUCUCCUCUGCUUGAUACUCCAUUUCACGAGCCUGCAUCAACUUAUUCAUGAUGUCUUGCACCAUUGCCUCCAUAGUUGUGAUGACUUUUAGCUCAAGUAUCUCUGGGUUACUUUCUAUUUUAUGGUAAACUUCAGCUAGUGAGUUCAUAAUGAUCCUUUGAACAUCUCCAUGACUACAUAAAAAAAUUUGUUAUCAGUAUAAGGGUGCUUUUGAAAUGUCGGUGAGCACUUGAGUUCAUAAAUAUUGUAUACCCCUGGACAGUUGACAGCUUCAUAUCGUCUUGAUUUGCUCUGACAUCACCGCUGCCUUCAGUCAGAUCAUUGUAUAUCUUGUCGUCUAGAAAACAAAGUAAUUAAAGUAGGAAACAUAAAAGAUAUUAAUAUUUACAACUGACAAGUAAAAAGCUGAGGAUUUUAUAAGAUCAUUUAUCAACUUGCAGCAAUUACCUGACAGAAGAAAGUCUUCAACAUCAAAAAACUGAAGUGACAGAAGAACCUGUAGAAAAAGAGAAUCAGAUCUGAUCCAAAAAUAAGCAAUUUGAAUUUAAAAAAUAUAUACAGGCCAAAACUUACUGGAUCAACAUUAAGCCCCUUUUCUAGUGAGUCUACUUCAUGAUAACCCUGCAAAUAAGGAGAGAAGUACACAACAUAAUGCGUCUUUUCCGACUCAGGACUUUUGUGUGUGUUUGACUAAUAUUUCUAUGAUUGCGGUUAUCUGGAUUUGAUUCCAAUUCAUUGAAAUCAUCCAUGUAUUCCUUGAAUGAACGUACAAUCUAAGAACCAUAAGAAAAAGGACAUAAAAGGAUCAUAAGACAUAAAAAUCCGAAUAUUUAAACUACAAAUAUUUCUGUCUGCUAACUAAUGUUCAGGUAGAACAAUCUGAGUUCAACAAUUGCUUACAAAGAAAGUAACAAACAUUUCUGGCCAAUAUAUAUAUGUGUAACCCAGAGAAUUAAUAAAAAGAAGUGAUAUUUUUGGUUGUAUCACCUUAUAGUUUGCAAAAGAUGAAAUAAACUGCCCGUCAAAGAAAUUAAAGGGAUGACAAGUUGUACUUAUAUGACAGUAGGAAUGGCUGAGAAGGGUUAAAAUUUUCAUUGGUUAAGAGAGAAUCUAUUAUUACAACAGAGGAUUAAACUUGAUUUUUGCAUCAUUUAUUGAAAGGAUUGAAUAGAAAACUAGUCGACAAUACAUGAUUGCCUAUUCAAGUCAUAAUUUGCUCAACAAAAAUCAAAAUUCGGGUCUAAGUGAAAAAAAAGAACAGAACAGAACAUGAGAGCCAAAAGACAAGUUAUUCUGUGUACACCUCCAGAAGACUGUGAUAUGGAAAUCAACGCCAAUUUCAAUCACCAUUGGCUAGGACUGCUGAUCUUAAACCUCGACAACAAGUAAACCUCUUUACUGUCGGGUUGGUAGAGGAACUUAGAAUUGAUAUUGAGAUGCAACAACCGGAAAACCUUGGAGUUGCAAUGAAUAUGGCUCAAACAUUGGAACGUAAACAAAAUGUCUUUUUCUAAACUGUCAUCUCCAGCUAUCCUGAACUGGCUAACUUCCCAAAACACUGGCAGCAAUUCAAUCAUUCAAACAACUAAGAGCAUUGUAAAGAAAGGGGGACAAACAACAAAACCAACAGGGAACAACGGCAAAAUAGGUUCUUCUGCACCAUUUGUUAAGAGAUUGACACAGACAGAAAUGGUGGAAAGAAUGGCUAAGGGGUUGUGUUAUAAUUGUGACGAGUCCUAUUCCAUGGGACACAAAUGUAAAAGGUUAUUUUGGAUAGAAAUACCAGAUGUUGAAGGCAAGCAAGAUGAUGAUGAGGUAGAUGAUGAGCUUGAGGACAAGCUCAACUCCAAGGAGGGGAGUAAUGAUAUGGACGUUUUUAUUACAAUAGGAGUUUUAGUUUUAUUUAUUUAUUAUAUUAAGUUUUACCAAGAGUUUUAGUUUUACUUAUUUUCUCUAUUAUAUUAGGUUUUUAUUUCCUUCAUACACUCUAAGUUAGGAAUUCUAUUAGGACUCUUUCCUUUGUUAUUAACAGUCUAUAAAAGGUUGUCAAUUGAAAUAAAGAGAUAAGCAAUUAUUCUAUAAAAAAAGAAACCUUAUUCUGAGAGUGGGUUCAAUCAAGGACGAAUCUGCCUUUUGAGUAAGCAUAGGUCGAGGCAAGAAUUCUUUCUCAUCUAGACUUAUGAUUAGAUCCUACGCUAAGGCGCAUAUCAGACUGUUUCUAAAUAAACUUCCCACAUCAACUCUAAAAAUUUAAUAAUGCAAGAACAAAUUACCAAGAAAGAAAAGUCAUGCCGCUACUACUAAGUUACAGAGUCAUGUUUUCUACAAUAAUUUUCAUGAUAAAAGUAAAAUCUAAAGCUCCAUUGAUUAAAAUACUAAUGACAAAUUGGGUGCUUCUACUCAAAAUGUUUACCUGUAGAUUGAUGUGAAUCUUAGCACCACUGGUACAAUCAGGGGUUAGAGGAAAAUGGAAUAUUAAGUGUUCAUCUUCCAUUUGCACAAGAUCUUGAAUACUAACAGGAUUUGUAAGCUUUUGGUUCUUAAAAUCUUGUAGCAUUACUAAAAAAGAAGCCAAAACUUUGUUUACUAUUUUUGCCACUAUGCUAAAGACCUUAGCCUCUGAGAUUAAUUCCUCUGUUUGGUCCACAAUAGCCUCUCCCUGCAAUGCUUUUACUGAAAUAUAAAGAAAGCAGAUAACAAAUUUUAAUUUAAAUGAUCAAAUCAAGAUUAAUAUAUUUAUAUAUGUAAAAAGAGUUAUUAAAACAUGCCUAGGAUGUCUAUCUCUGGCAUUCCUUUAGCAGUCUCCAGAACAUCAACAACAAAUGGCAUUAAUCAACAUAAAAAUCGUACCUACGAGUGAGAUUAAGUGAGGAAGGUCCUUGCAAAUCUCAUCAGCACACUCUAUGUUCCGGACUGGAUUUGUUGACUGAUUCAAAAAUGAAUCAAGCUCUUGAAAUGCAUUUUCGAUGCUAAGACUGGAACUGGCAUUAUCGACAAUCCUGGGCUGCAUCAAAUUUCUCAAUCGUUGCAGUAAGAGUUGAGGGUCAUGAAGCCGAUUCAUCCCUUCCACUACUAUCUCUUUCUUUUCUUCCCAUUUCCUCUACAUUCAAAAAAGUUACUAAAAGCAAUUAGAAACAUAAAUGAACUUGCACCCUCAGUUUUUUAGCUCAAUAUUCUUUUGAGUAAAAACAAAACCACAAUAAUCUGAUACUUGUAGUAAAAAAUUGGACACACUUCUGCUAUUUGGAAAAAAAGAGUCAGAAAUUGCAGGAUUGACAUGUUACGUUGUAGUGGGAGUCGGAUUGACAUGGAUUAGUUUGCUCUUUUUUCUUUUUUUUUUUCAAAAUACAAAUUAUAAAAAGAGAGGAAAAGUCUCACAGCAGCUCGAUAUCUGUCAUCACCAUCCAAUAGCAUACGCAUCAAUUCUCCCACCAGCUCGUUACAGUCCUGCAUAUAUAUGGAGAGUAACUAUUAUUAAACAAACCCUAAACGAUAAAGAAUUGCAAGAAAGGAAAGAAAAUGAAUAGGUACCUUGAUUCUUUUACGGCUGAGCUUAUCUUUAUCUGAUUCCAAUUCAAUGAAAUUCCCCAUAUAUUCCUUGAACGAAGUACAAUCUGAGAAUCAAGCAAAAUGAUAUAAAAAGAUCUUAGAAUAUUCUGUAAGUUCAAAUUUUGCUUUAAAAGCAAAAUAUAUUUCUAAAAAAAGCAAAGUCAAACUCAAUUCUAUCCAGUAGACCAGAGAAAAAAAUAAACGAAACUGGAUUAUAUUCCAGCAAAGAGAGAAGAGAAAUGAAGCUUAAUAUUGCUUACGAUUGCAGAGUAGAGACUUGUUAUGCCGUCGCAGAAAUCUUUUAUCACUUUUUUCUCAAAACUUUUAUUUCUGAUGCAUUCGCACGAUCGUGCGAAUUUCGCUUUUCUGAACUAUUCGAAAAAAUAUUAAAAAGAAAUUGAUUCAAUCCCAAAUUUUGAAAAAGUAGUCUAUUUUCCAUAUGUGUGUUCACAAUAAUCUGCAUUUACUGUUGAAGUUAUCAAUAAUUCUCGUUUAUCCUGUUUGAGAAAAAUUAAGUUGAUACGUUUGCAGGGGUAUUGCCAAGGGUGCGUUAGCAAAUGUCAGCUAAAAAAUUAAAUUACUCAACUUUCAAUAAAAAAAAUUCCUCUAAACUAUAAAAAGUUAUAUUUUAAUCACUAAUAUUUUUUUAGUGAAAAAUAAUAAAUAGAAAUACAAUGUAUCAACUAUUGAGCCUCUAAAGGUUUUGUCUUGUUGGAUAGCUGUAACCACUAAAUCAGAAGGUACUUCAAAUAUCUGAAGGGGGUCUGCCAAGAGAAAUUAAUCUUUGUCAAUUGAUUUGCAAUUAAAUUACACUCUCUAGGAACAUACUUAAUUUUCCAUUGACCUACAAAACGCAAAAUACGUUUAACUCUUCUAAACAAGGUAAUACUAGAGUCCAUUGACUCCUCCAUGGACAAGGCACUAACCACCUCAAGGUUAUCUGUCUAAAUCCUGACUUUCUUGUAGUCCUUAUUUAAUAAAAUGAGAAUUUCAUCAAGAAUACUCCAAAGUUCUGCCUCCAAAGGCGAACAUCUGCCUAAAUAAUGAUUAAAGCCCAAAAUCCAAUUGUCAACCUAAUCACGAACCACCCCACCCAUGGAUGCAUUUCCGGAAGCUCUAGCCAUUGCUCCAUCAGAAAAUAAAUAGAUCCAAUUGCCUUUAUAAUGGGAAUGAAUUUCCGAAUUUGGUGAACUAGGCUUGGCCUCAUUUAGAAAAGGUUCAAAUUGUUAGGCCCAAUUGAGAGAGACUUUUACAAUUUCAUAAGUCGUCCAGUUAAUGUUUUGGAAGAUGAAAAGAUUCAUGUUCUUCCAAAUUCUCCAAGUAAUUAAUCCAAAUAAGCUUGACCAAGUAAUUUCCUUAUCCUGCAUCUUAAAAUGGCAACAAAGGUUAGUGGAAAACCAAUUUUGAAGGAAUCAGAAAAAAAACCUAAUUUGUAUCUUAGGAAGGACUACAAGCUUCCAUGCUUCCUUAGCCAUCAAAUAGUCUCGGAGUACAUGCAUAAUGUCCUUAGUAUCAUGAUCACAUAAAGAGCACGCAGUGUUCUGCCCAAUUCCUCUCUUAACGCGCUUUGAAUUAGUAAGAAGCCUCUGUUUGACCACAAACCAAAGAAAAAGACGAACUCUCUGUGGGCUUUGAUAUUUCCAAAUAGACUUUCAACUAUCAUCUUUAGGACUCCAAGAAUCUUCUUUUAAAACCCAAUAAGCAUUACGAACAGAAAAAGACCCUCAAUCAGAUUGAGCCCAAAUGAUCCCAUCCUCUCCACCAAUAGAGUGAGAAUGGGGGAUACUUACUACACGCUUUAUCACGUCAUCAGGUAGCCAAAUAGGAAGCAAAUCAACUUUCCAAGAACCAUCAAGAAGAACCCAAUCCCUCAAAGUGCUCUCCAAACCGAGGCUUGCAUGAGCUGGGACAUAAGAAAAAAGAGGACCAACUUCCAGUAUCCAAGAAUCUUUCCAACAACAAAUUAUAGAGCCAUCACCUACAGACUACAUAAGAUCCUCACAAAAAAAGGGGUCACACCUUAGAAAGGGAACGGCAAAGAUGAGAGCAUUGAUUUUUGUGGAUAGAAUUUGGAAGCUGAUUCUUCCACCCAUAUUUCGAAUAAAGGACACAAACUCAUAAAGCACCCUUUGUAGAGACUAGAUUGAACCCAAUCUUCAUAAGGAAGGAAUUAUUUUGGUCUUGGAGGUGCUGAAACCCAAGGCCCCUCAAGACCUAAGCUAACAAAUGGACUCCCAAUCUACUUUUGGAUGCCCAGCAGAACCCCUCAAGACCUAAGCUAACAAAUGGACUCCCAAUCUACUUUUGGAUGCCCAGCAGAACCACCCCAAAUGAACUGCCUUGCUAUCUUCUCUCCUUUCGGGAUUAACAAGGACUGCAUAAAGUAGUUUGAACUAUUAAAAGAAAUAAACAUUAGCACUAUACUCUUAUUAUGUUUUAUACUUAUUUUAAUCAAAAGAUAAAAAUAUCUAUAUUUCAAUUAACCGACCAAAUUAACCAAAAUAAUUCAAUUCGAUUAAUGUAUUUGAAAAAAUUUCAAUUCAGUUCACGGUUAAAACUUUUUAUAUUUCAAGUAAUUCGGUUCAAAUAUUAAUCGAACCAACCAUUUGAACAAUGCAAUCGAGACCCUUACUGAAUGCUUUUAACUGGACCGAUUAAAUUAUCCAACGAAUUCUACAAGAAUAAAUUUAGAAUUGAAUUGGAGUUUGUUCGUAUAUGAAAUACACACAAAGUCCAUGUAAACCAUUCUUGGCAAAGCCAAUCCUUGAAUAUCCUCUUGUAGCUGUUGAGCAGGUCCUGCUGGCGGCACACUAAAAAUUUGCAUGCCAACAUUCUGGUUUGAAGAAAGACAAAGCAUCAGCUAGCCGAUUCGCUUCCCUAUGCACAUUCUGAAUUGAAGUCAGCAAAGCCAAACCAUUCUUCCAAGUUGUAAAAACUCCUGAUUCAAACACAAAAACAUCCCACUAAACCAUUAAAAGAUUCUAUUCCAACGUCAAAUAGAUUUCGACUUACUUGACCGCAAUAACAAGUAGCAAUUAGUCAAGCAGUGGUUUCUUGGCCAGCUUCAGUCAGCCUUCUCUUUUUCUUAGAGAAGCACAAGCAAUUACUGAGAUUUAUAAAUAUAGACACGAACCAUAAAUGAAAAUUAGGGGUUGGAGUAUUAACAGUUCAUUCACUAUUUGCACAAUGUCCUUGAGAAGGAUUUGCCAAGUUCAAAAUGUCGUAGAUCUUAACAUAAGUCGUUGCUUGUUUCUUCUUGCCUUCUUGUGGUCACAAAAGACAUUUUCCUGGAUAUGCAAAGUAAGAAGAAAAUCGGAGUUUGCUGCUUUGUAGCCAAGGAGGAGUGUUUAAAAGGUGGCAACGACAGCAGCAAAGUUUAAGAAUCCAUGCAAAAACCCACGUUGCAUGCAAGAAUCCAUGCAAAACCUACGUUGCAUGCACGAAACCAGAAGCUCGGCUGAAGCAUGUUAAAAUCCAUGGUGCAAUUCGACAAGCCUUGUUUAUUUAGUUGACUUUUGUUAGUCUAUGGUGUAAUCAUUAUUUGCUUUGAUCAGCUAAGGUUAAAAUGUGUGCUUAGCUGAUUUAGUAGUCAAAUUAGGUUGUCAUUUUGUUGAUGUAAACCUUUGGUUACUUGCACAAGCAAGCUUUGUUUUCUUUCUAUGUAGUUUUUGUUCUAUUUAUGUAUGUAACCAUGCACUUAUUCGGGUAAUGAGAAAAACACUUUGCUCAUUCAACUUUCUGCUUGUUCUUGCUACUGUUUUAAUCUUUCAAACAUCUAAAACAUUCAUCUAAGUUGUUUUUAAACUUUGUUUGCUAAGUUAAAAACCAACACACCCAAAUCAUAGUAUAUCUCGUUGCCUACAAAACAUAAAGGUAACCAAUACAAGUAAAAAGGCUAAGGUUUUAUAAAACCAUUAAGUUUGUUAUACUGACGGUUUAAGUAUGUCCAGAACAAAUUGUCCAAAUCACAAGAAAGACUUGUAUAAUUUGGCACGGGAAAGUCCAAAUAAAGAAAAUGAUGCCAAAACUUAACAUAUCAAAUUUAUAUCCUUUAUUUGGUGAGUCUGCCUCAUGAUAACCCUGUAAAAUGUAAACAGCAAUUGCAUAGAAUUAAAAAUUGACAACUUUCCUACUCAGGAUUUUUUGUGUCACUGUUCGUCUGAUAUUUCUUGUUUUGAUUUGGUCUCUUAUGAACAAGUGGGAAUCAAUCAAACAGUGUUGAAAUGACAGUAUGAAGUUUAAAUGCUUAUACUAUCUAGUAGUAGCUCUCUUAUAGUUAUACUGAAUUUUUUAAACUGGAACAUAAAACUUGAAUGCACAGUAUGAUCUACAAUGCAUGAUUGCAUAUUCAAGUCGAAUAAAGGUCAUAAAUUUGCUCUGUAAAACUCAAAAUUCAGUCCUUACCAUCUCUUGUUUUGUUUGUUGCGGUUUCAAUAUUAGUUUCACUAGUAUCUCUCCCACACAUGCCAAGGUUAAAUUUACCUCCUUUGCUGGUUCCUCUUGAUCGAUCACCCACAUUUGAAAUAUAUAGAUGCAUAACAAAGUAAAAGAAAGAACAGAACACGAGAUGAAAUAAAAAUUAGUAUAUAUCCAUCACUCGAAGAUUGUUUCUCGAUGAACUUACCCCGUUGUCCAUAUAAACUCAAUAACACCAAGACACAUUACCAACAAAGUAAAGUUAUGCCUCAACUACUCUUUAUUAACCUGAUGACAAGGUUGUUAUACUAAGUUACAAACUUAUUGUUCAAUCAUUUAACAUGGUAUCACAAAAGGGUCUACCGUUCCUUUUGCCAUAUAAUCCCUAGUUCUUACCUCAGGGUUGUUGUGAAUCUCGGCUCCUUUCCCAGUGUCUGGGGGCAGAGGAAGGUAGAGAAUUAACUGUUCAUCCUCUUUUUGCACAAGAUCUCCUUGAAUACUAAGAGGAUUUGUUAGCUUUUGGUUGGUAAUAAGCCGUAGCAUUUCAAGACAAGAAUUCAAAACGUUGUUUAGCAUUUUUGUGACUCUGCCGAAAACCUUUUCCUCUUUUACUAAUUGUUGCAUUUGGUCCACAAUGGCCUCUUUCUGCGUUGCCGGAAUAGGAAAUGAACAAUGAUAUAUCAAAGUUAAUUCUAUUGAUCUAAAAUGUCUAAAUCCACCAUAGCUAAGUCCAAACCCAAGCAAAGGUUGCGCCCAAGCAAAUGAUGUGAACAUGUUGCCAGACAAAUCACAAUAGGUGAGCACUUUUGAGCCUCUAAAUUGGUUAGAUCAGAGCUCGAAAAGGUAUCUCAAAACCCACAUGACAAGCUCUCUUUGUCCAAAAAUAGCUCGAAAGAUUGCCAAUCAAAGUUCGUCUGGAAAGGUAUAAAUAACCCAACCUAAGUACACCCCCUUAACCCAAUGUUACUAUGAUGAGUUUUCUCCAAACCCUUUCUCAUCCAUAUAUCGAUAUAAGCAUUCGGGAACUGUAUUUUUAGGCAUUUCUCAAUUAGACUCCAAAAAAUCAAUAAAUGCCAUUAAUGAACACGUACACUUAAAAAAUUAAUAUCGAACCGAAUUUGUUUAGUUAAUUUGAUCAGUUAAUCAAAAUUUAUAUGUUUUUGUCUUUUAAUCAAAACAAGUAUAAAACAUAUAAAAAAAUAUAUUGAUAAUGUCCAUUGGUCUUGAAAGUUAAUUGACUUAAUCGGAAUUUUAAGUCUUGAAACACUACAUAAUUAUUAAAUUCGGUUAAUUAGCUGAUUUCGAAUCAAUUUAAUCGAAACCAAAAUUUCAAAAAAACAUUAACCGACUUUCGACCAAAUUAAAUUUGACCAUCAAUUGAUUAACCAAAUUAAUUCGAUUUUAAUCAAAGUUUCAACCCUAAUAAUCUCCGCCUCACUUCAAUGAAAUCCACCCAAGAGGCCUAUCCUGCUAAAACUCAUCUUUCUAAUGAGAGUAACUUCGUUAUAUAUCAUCUGUCACUUACGAUUAUACAUUAAAAAUUGGUUGGACUUUCAAUAAUAACUUAUUUAACGAGUUUAUAAUGGAUUUUUCACUGGAAAAUGUACUGCAAUAGUUGCUGGUGUACAUUUGUUUUUUUUUAUUUUGGUACUACUUUCUUUUGGAGCCAUAACUACACGAGUAACAACUUAAUAUCACAUACAUUAAAAAAACCAUUACUUAUGAAAAUUAUGCCAAUUCAACAAACGUCAAUUACGGUCUUUCGCGUAGAAGCUCGGGUUAUUCUUGAAGGUUUACGUAUUGCAUGGGAAAAAGGUUACAACAGUUGGAGAUUGAAUGCGACAAUACACUACUUGUAGAGUCCGUUCUUAUGGGUAGUGCUGCCAGUAGUAAUCUAGUUGAAUUACGUUUAAUCAAUGUUUACCUUAAGAGGAAUUGGAAUACAAAAAUCUGUCACAUUCCUAGAUCUCAGAAUAUGCCUACUGAUCGAAUAGCGAAAUGUACUUAUAAGAAUCUUUGUUUAAUUGAUUACCAUUGAAUACUUUAUCAGUUUUAAACAAAUUAUUCUUCGCAUCAACAAACCUUUUUCAAUAUAAAGUAAUUUUAAAAAUAAUGAUUAUAGAAUAAAGAUUUAUAUUUUUAUAAAAUUUUUGAAAUAAUUAUAUAUAUUUUUAAUUUUCAAAACAAAAAUUGUUUAAAAGAACAUUAUAUUUCUUUUCUUUUCUUUUUUAAACUACGUUGCUAAAAGAUUGUCCGACUCUCGUGAUUGAUUGAUAUAUAUAUAUAUAUACUUGUCGCAAAUUUAAGUAUUAAUUUUGCAUCGUAUAGGUAAAUAAAUAAAAUCUGUUUUUUUUUUAUCAAAUUAUUGUUUUGGUUAUUAUAUUCAAAUUUGAAGUUUAAUUUUUUUAAUUUGACAUAAAUUAACAUAUUUUUAUGUUGAAAUGAAAACUCUUUAAAGUAGUAUCUUCGACUCAUUAUGCUGGUAUGGUUUUGUUUUAUUUUAAAUGAGAAAUUAAUAUAAAAUAGACUUGUUUAUUGGCUGGACACUCGAUCCACCCAAAAAGUGGGAGGAUUUGGAAAAAAAUAUAAGCCUGAAAAAUGAGCUGAGGCAAAAAAAAAAAAAGUCCAUUUUAAUAACAGGUUGGGCAUUGGGUAAAGUUUUUUUGGACUGAACCCAACUUGACUCAAAUUAGCCAAAAGACAAAGAAAAAAAUGCUAUUUUCUUGUUGUUUUAUCACUAUUUUGCUAUCAUUUCACUAUUAUGUUAUUACUAUUUUUUUUGUUAUUUUUUAGAUAUUGUAUAACUCUUGUUUUAUAUUUAAAUUUGUUAUUACUUUAGAGACAUUUGCUUGUUAAGUUGCACUUAUCUUAACGCUAUUUAAGUAUAAAUAUUUUUUAAAAAAAUUUAUUUUCAAUUUUUUAGGAAACAUUUAUUUUAAUAUUUUUUAGUGUAUCUAGUGUAUUAUAUUUUUAAAGUUUUAUAUAAGAAAAAUUUUAAAAAUAAAAAGGGCAGAUCUGGACCGGACCUAAAUUGUAACAUUUUUAUCUAGGCCGAACUUAGGUAAAAAUUUAAACCCAUUUUUCGGGUCAGGCCAAACUCAAACAUAUCAAUCAAACCUAAAAUUUUGUUAGUGAAUACCCAACCAAUCAACAAAUCUAGUGUAAUCCCAUAGUGUUGACUACUUUUAUUGCCCUGAAAUUGGUUAGCCCAUGAAUUUAUUAUGUUGAAGCCCCUCUUUAAUUGAAAAUUUGAGGUUGAUAAAUCAUUAUUUAAUGUCUGAAUUUGAUAAUAAUUUUUUGUGUGGUACAACUUUGACCUUUACCUUCCUUAUUACUACCUCUGUUUACCACCAAUUUUUGGUCGCAACAUUAAGAAAAAACUCUAUUCAAAUAAUGAGCACCAAAUGGACCGUUUUCUAGUACCACUAUUUUUCACACCAAAUACGUUGGAAUUAUUCUCCUUCUCUUGUGUCCCUCUCAAUUCUCAUUUUCAAAUUUACUUUAGUGUACAAUAUACGUGAAUAUUUAAUAAUAAUAAUAUAGAUUAUAUGGAUCAAUUUUUAAUAAUAAUAAUGGAUGAAUUUUUUUAAUAAAAGAAUUAAUUUAUUCUUUGAUUUUAUCUACAAUGACUAAUUUAUUUAUUUUUUAAGUAAAAAGAAAAAUAUAGUCUAACUUAUAAUAUAAAAACCUUCAUGAUACUUGUUGAUAUUAGGUUGAAGAUGAUCUUUACGUGUUGUUUAUAUUACGUGUUGUGUUGACUAUAACGAAGAAGUUAAUUAAUACAUAUUGUAUUUGUCAAGCAAAAUUAAUAAUAUAAAAUAAGUAUCCCAAGUUGGUAGAUUUGAGAAAAAGGAACAUGGUCGACAUGAAUUUCUUCGGUGGAAGGAUUGACCCACCAUAGAUUGGGAACUGCCACUUGACUGCUACUAAUAUCUGCUUUUUCAUCCAUAUAUGUGUAUAUAUAUAUAUAUGCUGGAACCUUGUUAUUACAUAAAAAUACAGGACGACUUCAUUUUCUUCUUCAAUGGCAGUGUCAGAAAUCUCGCGAUGUAGUUAUCAUGUAUUCUUGAGUUUUAGAGGUGAAGAUACGCGCAGAAGUUUCACGGAUCAUCUUCACACAGCUUUGAUGCACUUAGGAAUUCAAACAUUUAGAGAUGAUGAGGAAAUCGAGAGAGGGAAUAACAUAAAAGAUGAAAUUGAAAAAGCAAUACUACACCACUCCAAAAUUUCUAUCGUUGUUUUCUCAAAGAAUUAUGCUGUAUCCACAUGGUGUCUUAACGAACUUGUAAUGAUAUUGGAGCACAAGAAAUCCUCUAAACACAUUGUGUUGCCAGUUUUCUAUGAUGUGGAUCCGAGUCAAGUCAAGAACCAGACGGGAAGUUAUGCAGAAGCAUUUACCCAACAUGAACAAAACUUCAAGUCCAUGGUACAAAGAUGGAGGAAUGCUUUAAAAGAAGUUGCAGAUAUAGGAGGCAUGGUUCUACAAGACAGGUAUGUUAUACACAUAAUCAAGUUCCAUAUGGUUACUUCAAUCCUUUUCAUUAAGACUUGAUAGAUAGAGUAGAAAGAAAAUUAAUAGAAAAUAUUGUUAGGUAACGUUUGGAGAUUAAAAUGGCUACUUCAAUCCAUUUUAAAGGGUUAAAUAUAACUCAGAUUUUAAAUUAUUUCUCAAACACUAACAUGUUUUAAUUGAGUCAUUAAAAUAUUAGUAUUGUAUCAAUAAGGUCUUUUUAUCAAACAAGUAAUCAGUUUAAGCAUUAAAUGUAAAUAACAUGAAUUUAUUAAACUUUCACAAAGAGAAAGUUGAAAUUUGAGUAUAGGUUGUUUCUUAAAUGAAUUUCAUUAAUUUUUAUGUUGCUUUAUUUGAUUUGAUUUGAUUUUGAAUGUAAUAAUUCUAUCAUAUAUGUUGAAAUGUUACAUUAGUUGCUUAUUUUUAUUAGAACAUAUAAUCUCAUAAAGACAAUUAAAAUAUAUGCAAGAAAAGAGAAAAUACAUUAAUAACUUUUACUUAAUUUUCAAGAUUUUAGCAUUGAGUUGUAUUUUUUAAAUUUGCAGGCAUGAAUCACAAUUUAUUCAAGAUAUUGUUAAAGAAGUUCAAAAUAAACUUCAUCCUAUUUCUUUGUAUGUCCCUCCUUAUUUAGUUGGAAUAGAUUCUAUCGUGACACAAAUUAAUCAAUGGUUAGAACAAGAUGGAGCAAAUAAAGUUGGCAUUGCAACUAUUUGUGGCAUUGGAGGCAUUGGGAAGACAACCAUUGCCAAAGUUGUUUACAAUCAAAACAUCUCGAGGUUUGAAAGUUUUAGCUUCCUUGCUCAAGUUAGAGAAACAAGUCAAGAUUGUAAUGGCUUAGUUCGUUUGCAAAGACAACUUAUUUCAGAUCUCCUUAAAGGAAAAUCGCAUAAAAUAUACAAUAUAGAUAAUGGAAUUAACAAGAUCAAAGAAAUUGUAUGUUGUAGAAGAGUUCUUCUUGUUCUUGAUGAUGUUGAUGAAUUGGAAAAAAUAAGAAAAUUAAUGGGAACUCAAAUUCCUUUUCAUCCGGGAAGUAAAAUCAUCAUAACUAGUAGAAACCGAUGCCUAUUGAAUGCACAUUUUAUAAGCCAAAUGUUUGAUUUGGAAGCAUCAACUAGCUGUGGAGGCUUAAGCAAGCUAUUUGAAGUAAAAGAAUUAGCUUCAAGUGAAUCGCUACAACUUUUUAAUUNNNNNNNNNNNNNNNNNNNNNNNNNNNNNNNNNNNNNNNNNNNNNNNNNNNNNNNNNNNNNNNNNNNNNNNNNNNNNNNNNNNNNNNNNNNNNNNNNNNNGGGCUCUUCAUUAUCUAGCAAAAGUGUGAGUUCUUGGAAAAGUGCAUUGGAGAAAUUAGAAGAAAUCCCUGACAGCAAAAUUCAAAAGAUUCUAAGAAUAAGCUAUGAUUCUUUGGAAGACGAUCAUGACAAAAAUUUAUUCCUUGACAUAGUUUGUUUAUUCAUUGGGAAGGAUAGAGAUUACACGACUACAAUUCUAGAUAGUUGUGAUUUCUAUACAACAAUUGGAAUUGAAAAUCUAGUAGGCAGGUCUCUUUUAAUCAUUAAUGAAAAAAACAAGCUAAUGAUGCACCAAAUGAUUAGAGAUAUGGGACGAGAAAUUAUUCGUCAAGAAUCUUCUGAUAUUGAGAAACGAAGCAGAGUGUGGCAUAAGAACGCAUUUGAUGUAAUAAGAGAAAAAAUUGUAAGAAACAUCAUUUUACUCAACUUUUUUCUUGUAUGCAUGUAAACUACUUUUUUUUUUUAUCAAAUUUCUUUUUAUUUUUUAAAAAAGGUUUUCUGAUGCAGGGUUCCAAAACAGUUAAGUGCCUCACACUUGACCUAAAAGGAUUGCUAGAAGACAAGGCUAAAAGGACAAAUACAACUCUACACUUUCCAAAGCAUUCCAAAAGUCAGUUUCUCAUGGCAAAUGAUGUUGAUAUGGAAACUCAAGCAUUUGCAAAGAUGAAGAGACUUAAACUGCUUCAACUGGAUUAUGUAAAACUUAAAGGAGACUUCAAAGACUUUCCCAAAAGAUUAAGAUGGUUACGUUGGCAUGGGUUUUGUAUGCAAUCUUUUCCGGUGGAUUUCGAUAUCAAUGAACUAGUUGUUCUCGACAUGCGCAACAGUAAACUUAAACAAGUUUGGAAGGAUACAGAGGUAUGAUAUAUACUAAUUUUCCUUCUUUUUGUGUGUAUGUGUGUAACAAUAAUAUAUAAAUGAAGGGUUUUCUUUUUUUGCAGUGCCUCCCAAAUUUAAAGAUCCUUAAUCUCAACCAUUCACAUAGCCUUCUUAAAACCCCAAGCUUUUCAGGACUCCCUAGCCUUGAGAAGUUGAUGCUCAAAGAUUGCAUAAAUUUGGUAGAAGUUGAUCAAUCCAUUGGUGAGCUAAAGAUGCUUACUUUCUUGAACCUAAAAGAUUGCACAAGUCUUAGGAAACUUCCAAGGACAAUUGGUUCAUUAAUAUCACUUGCAGAGCUUAUUUUAUCUGGUUGUUCAAGACUUGAUGAUGUCCCCAGGGAGUUGCAUAAUAUGAAAUCAUUGAAGGUGCUUAAUUUAGAUGAAACUUCCAUAUGUCAAACAAGAUUGGGAUUACAUUGGCUCUUACCGAAAAGAAGUAAAGAAUUGGGUUUCUCUUGGGCAUCUCUACCGUGCUCUUUGGUAAAAUUAAGCCUUGAAAGUUGCAAAUUAUCUGAUGAUGUCAUGCCCAAUGAUCUUUAUAACUUAGCUUCAUUGAAAUCCUUAAAUUUUAGUAGAAACCCAAUUCAUUGCCAUCCCGAAAGCAUAAAAAAACUUACAAAACUUGAUGAACUUCUAUUGACUUCUUGCACUGAACUCCAAAUAAUUCCAAAGCUUCCAGUCUUGCCCAAUGUUUUUGAGUUCUUGACAAUAUCUCCAUUUAAAGGAUAUUGGGCAAUUCUUCCAUGCUUCUUUUCUUCCACACGAUGUGUUAUUUUUGGAUGUGAAAAAUUGACUGAAGUUGAAGAUCUAUUCAAGUUGGGACCAAUUGAAAACUUUGAAGAAGAAGAGAUUAGAAGAUUAUUCAACCUGGAUUCCAUUAGCAGAAAUCGACUGCAACUUUAUAGCUACCUAACAGACAGCAUAAUGCUUGCUACCCCACAGGUUCUCCAACUUAAAUUUUAACUUUAUUUUUUUCUCUUACAUUACUUAAUGAACACAUUCGUAAUCAUCUAACAUGUUUUUUUUGGAUCAGGUCUUGCAGGAAUGUGGUAUAACAAGUACUUUUGUUGUGGGAAGUGAAGUUCCUAUUGUGUUUAAGCAUCGCACUAACGAGCACCGAAUCUCUUUUUCUUUGCCAACACCAUCUCAUCCAGAUGAAAAGAUCCAUCGGUUCAGCUUAUGCAUUGUUUUCUCUUUAGCUAGUGAUCAAAUAUUGGAGUUUCUACCAAGUGUCCACAUUUUCAAUGAGACCAAAAGGAUCAUGCAGAGAUAUCGCUCAAGUUUCAUCGGAAUUCCUGAGACUAACGAUAACACAAUGUUGUGGUUGAUCCAUUGGCCAGUAACGGAUUGUGAGUUUGAAGGUGGUGACCUUGUGAGUUGCAUGGUAGUGCCUGUUCAUCUCAGCAUAAGAAAAUUUGACGUUACUUAUGAAUCACAACACAAAGUUAGAUAUAAAUAUGGCUUUUCCCACGUAUCUACAGGUAUGACUAUGACUUCAAAUGAUUAUGUUUAUGGAAUAUUAACCCAUGCACUAUUAACACUUACUAAACUAAAGAUAUAUCCUUAUUGAAAUAAUAAUUUUUUUGACAAAGGAAAUAAUAAAUUAUAUGAAUAUUUAAUGUGUUUUCAGUGACAAGAUUAUAUAUUAGUGAAUACAUCCUAUUAUUUUUUUAAUGUUUCCUUUUAGAUGUCAAUAACAAAUGUUUAAGAAAUGAUAAAUGUUGCAAUUGGGAUCUAAUUAAAAUAAUUUAAUUGUUUGAUAAAUGAUUAAUUUACAAGUCUUAUAACACAUUUUAACAUUUUAGUGAUAAUAAUAUUAGUUUUUAAUUUUUUUUCAUAUAAUAUUAAGAGGAAGGAAUGGGGUCACACGGUUUGAAUCUGUGUCAAAUAGGUGUCUGACAAAAGAUUUAACCAUCAGUGUAUUCAAGUUAAGACUACUAUUUUAAUAUUCUAAUAGGCAUACUACAAUUGAUAAAUAACACAUUAUUGUACAUAUUUUAGGAAAUGAAGUUACCACAAGAAAUAUGAUGAUGGACCUGACUAAAGACUUACCCAGUUUGGAAUCUUAUGGAAAUGUUAAAGUGCAACUUUGCAAUUUUAUAGAAGAAUCAAAAGUGGUUGCUUCCCCACAGGUUCCCUUUACAAGUUUCAACUUUUAAAAAAUAUUUAUAUAAUAUUUUUUAAAAUUUUAUUCUAUAACCCAAUGCUACAGGUAUUAUACGAUUACGGCAUAAUUACAACAUUUGAUACAUUUCCAUUUGAUUACAUUGGCCACUACCAUGGCCUUCAAGCUGGCAAGACUGAGGUUUCAAUAUCAGUGCCCCCAAACUCUAGUCGAAAGAUAAGUUGCUUCUUAAAUUCGAUUAUCAUUUUUUCUGCCAAGAAUGAUAAAACAUAUGGAUUUUUACCAUGCCUUGAAAUUGUGAACGAGACCAAAGGUACAAAGUGGACCUACUCCAAACAUUUCAUGGGAAUUCCUGAAACCAAGAAUACCUUAUACUGGACGACUUGUUGGAACUUUAGGGGUGAUGAACUAGAAGCUGGUGAUCAUAUUAGUCUUCGGGUUCUUUCAAAUUUAUCUGUACUAGAAUUUGGGAUUGACCUUGUAUAUGAUUAUGAGCUAGAUGACAACUCAAAUUUUUUCAGUCAGUUGCCAUGGAUGAGUAAAUGUUUUAAGUAUCUUUUCGGGACUUUUGUUCUUAUUUCGUCAAAAGCCCAAAAAAACUUGUAUAGGUUGCAAAGUUUAGUCAAAUGCUGAUUAUCGUAGGAUUGAAAUGGAGCAAAUGAAUAUUUUGGUUUAGUCAUUGCCGCCUUGGCUUGGCUGAUUUCAUCUUAUAUUUAAUCUCUUAUUCUUUUAUGUAUGCUAUCGAUAUUGAUUUUUGCUCAAGUUCUUCAAUGAAGCACCUUGUUCUUGGUAAUUCAAUUAACUUGUGCUUUUAAUCAGAUGUCGGAGUUAUUUUAGUAGACUUAAUUGAUUUUGUAUAUAUGGAAGUAAAGUAAAUGUGAGCUUAGCUCGCUUUCAGGGAAGAGUAGUGUACCAAAAGAAAGUUGAAAAUGGUAAGCUAGGAGGUGAUGAUCGUAGAGAUGAAAUAUUAGAAGGAGAAAACGAGAAAAAGCAUUCUUGGGAGAUGAUUUGAUUACCAUUUGUGGAACACUAAUUCCUAUAACUACGUGGGCUUGUUCAUAAGACUUCUCUUAGAAUCUCGAACAAAUAUCAGUUGAUUGUUCUGGUUUAAAUAUUUAAUUUUUAAGAGAAUAUAUUAUUACUUUAUUCUACCCUCUCGAAGAUUUAUAUCAAGUCCAAACUGUUGCGAGUUGAUAGCCAUGAUGGAAAUCAAUUUUGAGCAAUUUUUUGAAGGAGCUGAAAUAAAAUUGUAUAUUUUUAUAAUAGUAAAAGUAAAAUUUCACCAUUUUAAUAGUCUAUAUAUUUAUAAUUUUUAAAAAAUUAAAUCAAAAUUUUCUCAUUCUUUUACUUGAACUGUUUCACUCAACAUAAUAAAUUCGUGCGCUAAUCGAUUUCACGGCAUUUAAAGUAGUGAAGACGAUGGGAUAAGGCUAAUGUUGAUAUGGGAUCUGAAAAAGCAGGUAAGAGUAGUAGACUAUGAAAAGUCAUAAUAUAUUAUAAACAUUUCUUACGUUACAUUUCAACCACCUCUUUAAUUCCACCAGAAUCCGGUACUACUCGCUCUUGAGUGCUAACACUCUCCUCGUUACGGCCCUCCAACUUUUUCCUCCACAAUAUUUUAAGAAAAACUCAAUUCAAAUAAUAUUUUUAUAUUUGAGGUUUAUGAUUAUUUCUCUUAAUAAUGUUGUCUUUAAAAUUCAGAUAUCUAUUUCUCUUGAAAAUACAAUACCUUAAUUAUUCAAAUAAUAGUCUUAACAGAAAGAUUAAGCACCAAAUAUUCUAUAAAUACUAACAAGCUAAUGGUCUAAAGUCUAGAUUGAGUAGCACUAUUAUCCAAAUUCCGAAACAUAGUGCAACAAAUCAAUUCUUUCCCGGCGACCAAAUGACGUUUAUUAUAUAUAUAGAACUCUACAACCUAGUGCUACUAAUUAUCAAUUUUAUUGUUGUGACUCCAUAAACUAAAAUUUAGUUGAUCCCUUGACUCAAGAGUGUAAUUAUUCGAAUAGGGAUUAUAUCUCUUUUACAGUGGUACACUAAUUCGUCUUAUUAUAUGGGUUUAUUUAUAAGAGUUCUCUUAAAUAUUUAUGUCAAAUCCAAAUUGUUGUGAAUUCUUUUAACAUUUCAAGGAGUUUUGUCCAUAAGUAAAAGUCUUUGGUAAAAGUAUUAGAUAAUAAGUAAUUGAUAAAAAAUUUCAUUCUAAAGGCAACUAGCAAAGAGCUGUUUAAUAUUUUUCAACAUUCAUGAAGGGUUUUUAUGUACUUUUAUUGAAUGGAAUAGAAUUUUUUUUUCCUAAUAAAUGAACCACGAGAAGCAAAAUGUUUUCCAAGGAAUAUUCUUACCAUAUCUAUUUAAUAUGUAAUUCGCAACUUGUUCUUGAAAGGAAAACCAUAAUAAUUUUCCUAGAAUCUCUAUUUGGAAACUUGGAAGUCUUUUAAAUCAACCGAAUCAUCUUACUCGAAUACUUUAUCAACUUUAUACAAAUUAUUCUUUGCAUCACUAAAUAUUGUUCAUGACCUUGCACCCACUUUCAUGCAGAAUUAUUUCUCCCAUGCAGGGAAUGGUCUCCAUGAAUUAUUGCCAUAUUUCCAUUUAGGAUUAGUAAAUUUCAAUAACUUUUUUGGUGGACGUGAUAUCUAUUUUGAUGAUAUGACAUGGUUUGUUUUGAUCCAAAAAAGACGAUGAAUGACAUGAAAUUGAACUAUGAUUUUAAAGAAGGGACUUGAGUUUAUAUAUGAUUAUAUAGGCGGUAAUUCAAUUUUCCUUUCCUUGUUGGAAAAGGAAUUCCAUUUUGACUUUAAUUGUAAUUUUUAAGUUGUUGUUUUCUUAUUGUUAAUUAUUUAAAAAAUAAUCGCAUUUUAACUUGCAAACUUAAAUAUUAAACUAUUAUCUUUAUGUUUACUUUUUAAUGAUAAUUAACAAAAAUAUUUGGUUUUAAAAUUUUAAUACAAUCAAUGAAACACAAUUCACACACAUGAAUAAUAAAAUUUGACGUGAUUAAAUAAAUAUUGAAUUUUGUUAUAUUUUUAAUAAUAAAUAUAGGUAAAAUGGUAAUAAAUUGGGAUUUUAAUGUCAUUUAAAACGUGUCAAAUAAAUAUUAGAUUAGAUAUUCAAUAUUAAAAAUUAAUAUAUAUUAAUUGAAUUAUAAACGAGUUUAGAAAUUCAAAAUUGUAAAAAUUAAUAUAUAUUGAAUUAAAUGACUACCAUACAUAAUCUUAUUCGAAUAAUAAUAAUGAAAAAUAAAACUGAGUAUUUAAGACAAUUUCGUUGUAUUUGUUUGUUCUAUGAUCCAACUAUGGUAGGUAAGCGUGAUGUAGGUUCAUCGUACUCCCAUCCAGUGGCUUUAAUUUGCUCUAAUGGAAUCGAAAACGAAUCAAUCCUUUUAACAUCGGAAAUCGACUUUAUUUUCAAAAAAAGUUUUGGGUCGAUUUUGGAGUUCCAAUCAAUAUCAUCGAUAUACAUAUCUGCUGCAUUACUUGGCAACUUAUUUGUGCAAGGAAAACGAUGAUAAUAUUCCCAGAAUCUCUGUUUGGCUUUCUGGAAAGCUUUUAAACCAGUUGAAUCAUCCCAUUCGAAUACUUUAUCGGUUUUGAACAAAUUAUUCUUUGAUUCAACAAAUUUUUUCCAUGGCAUUGCACCCACUUUUAUGCAGAAUUUUUUCUCCCAUGCAAAUAAUGGUUCACAUGAAUUACCGUUAUCAUUCAGUUUGGGUCGAGUAAAUUUCAGACUGUAGUACCUUUCUCGACGAUUAUGAUAUCUUCUUUGAUAAUAUGACAUGAUUUCUUGUAAUCCAAACAAAUAAAUGAAUUGAAAUCGCUAAUGAUAUCAAUUUACAGUGAGGAGACUCGUUGGGUUUAUAUAAUAUUAUUAGAGUCAGUGGUGACUCAAUCCUUUUCCUUGUUGGAAAAGGAAUUCCAAUUUCAGUUUGAUUAUGAUUUCUAUUUUCUAAAUAUUUGUAUAAUAAAAUUAUUAAAAAAAAUAACUAUAUCUGUAUUGAUAAUAUUUUCUUAUUAAAUGGGUUUUAUGAGUUAAAUAACAAUCAAACCAAGACUGGGAGACUGAACUGCAUCAGGUCUUAGGGGUGAUCCAUCGCUUCAACCACUAUCCACCAUCUACAUCCUUCCCCUGUAUAAACUCUGUUAAAUAUAUACAGAGAGAGAGAGAGACAAACAAAUUAUAACGAUAGUAAAAAAAAUCAAAACUAAAAUAUAAGCAUUUUUCUUAUAAGGUGAAAAGAAAUAAUGGACUUGAGUACUUGAAAGAACUAACCGACCUAAGUUUAUAAAUUAUUAUUUAGUACAAUGAUUCGAACUCAAUUGCUUUUAAGAAAAAUUAACACUCGACCAAUAUAUUACAAUAUGAGUUGUUAUUAUGAUUUAAUGUAACAUUCAAUCAAUAAAAGAUAACCAAUUCCUGAACGCUACCUAACAAUAUUUUCUUUGCCAAAUACUUUAUCAGUCUUAAACAAAUUAUUCUUUGCAUCAACAAAUCUUUUUCAUUUAUCAGUCUUAAACAAAUUAUUCUUCGCAUCAACAAUUUUUUUCCAUGACAUUGCACCCACUUUGAUGCAUAUUUUUUUCUCCCUUGCGGGUAAUAAUUUCCAUAAAUUACUGUCUUUAGGUUUGAGAUGAAUAAACUUCUGUAUGCAGUAAUUUUCUUGACGAUUAUAAUACGAGAAAUAUGAAUUUAAAGUGAAGGGACUUUCCUUGUUGUGAAAGGAAUUUCAGUAACUAUUUGUAAAAUAAAAUUAUUAAAAAAUAAUUAUAUCUAUAUUGAUAAUAUUUUUUUAUUAAAUGGGUUUUAUUAGUUAAAUAACUUUAUUAAUUAGUUGAAUAGCAAUCAAACUCAACUUUAAAAUUUUAAAAGUAAUAUUACUGAAUAAAGAAUUAUAACUUAGUAACAACAUUCUAUUUGAACAUUGCAACAGUAAUUCAGUUUGAAAAUUGCAACAGUAAUUUAGUGAAAUUGACUAAAAAGAUUACUCUAUCUUCUUCCAAGUUGCAUCUUUCAAUCCAACCAAUUGGAAGCAUCAACACCAUAGAAUCAUAUAAGAAAAUCUACAAACUACGGUGCGACACCAUAGAAUCAUAUAAUUAAGAACAUCUACAAACUAUGUAGACACGGCUUCUUCACACAUUAGAUUUACCCUUAUGAAAUAGAAUAGGAGAACCCUCUGACUUGGUCAAUCAUAGCCCCUGUACUGUUCAACUUCCCAAAUCUAAGAAUAGUACCAUCCACGGGACUGACUUGUUAUUUAACAGAACACACUCUUAGCAAUACUUCAGAGUGACAUUAAUGAAAAUAUUAACAUGUCCAACAUGUUCGUAACCAGUUUCCAGACUAUAGGCAUUAGGUUGAGAGGCCUGUAACCUUCUUUCAAUGUGAAAAGUGACUUUUAUUAUACAAGAUGCAUCUUCUUCAAAAGAGAGAGCUGCUACUUCUAGGUCUUAAAUGCAAACCAAAAUACCACAUCAUAAGUUAUUCUUCAUUUUCAGUUGACUGUGCAUUCAUCCCAUCAAUCGAAAAAAGCGAUCUAAAGUUAUUCUUCAUGAUAAACAUACUUGAGUGGAAAGCACAAGCCCAUGCUUUAUGAAAUUUGUUUUCACAAGGAAAACAUGAUAAAUUUUCUAGAAUUUUUAUUUGACUUCCUGAAAAGCUGUUAAACCGGCUAAAUCAUUUCACUUGAACACUUUGUCAUUUUCAUACAAAUUCUUAUUUGUUUCAACAAAUCUUUCCCAUGGCAUUGCACUCCUUUCUAUGUAGAAGUUUUUCUCCCAUGCAAGCAAUGGUUUGGGUUUGGGAUGAGUGGUCCUUUGUUGUGAAAAUAACGAAUAGAAAUAUCAUUUAUAGAAAUGCCAAAUAGAUAUAUCUUUCUAUAAAAUAUAAUGCAUCUUGUAAUAAAAUAUCCUUUCAUAAGGUUAUAUUAUUUUAUAAAAUAAUUUUAUAUAAAAUUAUGUAUUUAUAUAAAAAUUUUAUGUACAUCUACACAACAUUAUUAUUCAUUAAUCAAUAAGUGUAAUAUACAUUUUUUCUAGAUAAUAAAAAGCGACCGCCAAAUGAUUUUAUUUUUUCAAUCGAAUUUUUGUUUUAGUCAUUUUAUUCAAAUUUGAAGUUUAUUUUUUUUAAUUUGAUAUAAAUUAACAUAGUUAAAUAUUCUUGUGCUAAUGUGAAAACUCUUUAAACUAUUAUUUUCGAUUCAUUAUGUUACUAGGGUUUUUUAUUUUAUUUUAAAUGAGAAAUUGAUAUAAAAUCCCAUUAAACUUUAAAAUUGGACUGAUUUUUUAAAAAAGUUAAAUUAUAUGUUUAACUGUGAACAAAAUAUGUUUAGCAAAAUAUGUUUAACAUGCAUUAAAAGGCAUCGUGGUUCAUUGGUUUCUAGAUGCGAACAAAUUAUGUGGCUUUAUAACUUCUGAGAAAAGUUUUGAGUCGAUUUCAAGAUUCCUAUCAAUAUCAUUGAUAUAUAAAUCAACUGCAUUACUUCUUACAAGGAAAGCCAUGAUAAUUUUUCGAGAAUUUUUGUUUGACUGAUUGCCACUGAAUACUUUAUCAGUUUUAAAUAAAUUAUUCUUUGCAUCAACAAACCUUUUUCAAUAUAAAGUAAUUUUAAAAAUAAUGAUUAUAGAGUAAAGAAUUAUUUUUUUUAUAAAUUUUUUGAAAUAAUUAGAUAAACAUAAAGAUGCAUUAUAUAUAUAAUAAAGAUAAAGAUAAAGAUAAACAUGAUUAAUUUUACCUUUAUUUUAAAGUAUAGCUUUUAUUAUCCAUUAAAUUAAAUAUAAAAUUAAUUUUACCUUUACCUUAAAUAUUUAAUUAGAUAAACAGAAAUUAUAGAAGUCCUUUUUGUCAUAGACCUUCAACUUGAUAACAUAUAAUUGUAACAACAAUUCAGUGAAAUUUGACUAAAAAUUGCGAAAUUGACUAAAAAAUGCAUCUAUAGAUACAAAUAAUCUCCAAUUCAACAUUUAUCAUUCAUUAAUUAAUAAGUAUAAUGUACUUGAUUUUUUGUAGAUAAUAAAAAACGUUUGAAAUUAUUUCACAAUAUAAUUUUUGUUUAUUAAGAUUUUAUUUUGUUUUUUCAUCUUUUCAGAUGUCAUAUGAUAUAAUCAUUUUAGCCCUAGCAUAGGUAAAUAAAUAAAAUUUAUUUUUUAUCAAAUUAUUGUUUUAAUAUUUAUAUUUAAAUUUGAAGUUUAAUUUUUCUAAAUUUGACAUAAAUUAACAUAGUUAACUAUUUUUGUGUUGAAAUGAAAACUCUUUAAAGUAGUAUUUUCGAUUCAUUAUGGUUUUUUUUAUUUUAAAUGAGAAAUGAAUAUAAAAUAUACCUAUUCAUUGGUUGGGCCACCCGACCCACCCAAAAAGCACGAGAGUUUGGGCAAAAACAUAAGUCCGAAAAAUGGGCUUAGGCAAAAAAACUAAAAGGGUCUAUUUUAAUAACGGGCUGGGCAUUGAGUAAGGUUUUUUUAGCCCAGACCCAACCCGACCCAAAUUAGCAAAAAGACAAAUAAAAAUUGCUUCUCUUGUGUUUUCUCACUAUUUUGCUAUCAUUUUACUAUUAUGUUAUUACUACUUUUUUUGUUAUUGUUUAGAUAUUGCAUAACUCUUGUUUUAUAUUUAAUUUUGUUAUUAUUUUAGAGAAAUUUGCUUGUUAAGUUGCAGUUAUCUUAAUGCUAUUUAAGUAUAAAGACUUUUUUUUAACUUAUUUUCAAUAUAUUAAGAAAUAUUUAUUUUAAUAUUUUUAGUGUAUUUGGUGUAUUAUAUUUUUUAAAUUUUUAUAAAAAAUAAACUUUAAAAAAGUCAGACCUAGGUUAUAGCAUUUUUAUCUGUGCAGAACUUAAGUAAAAAUUUAAACCUUUUUUUAGAUCAAACCAAACUUGAACAUAUCAAUCGAACAUAAAAUUUUGUUAGGAAUUGACCCGACAAACCAAAUAUUCCUAUCCCAUCGUCUUCAUUACUUUUAUUGCCCCGAAAUUGGUUAGCCCAUGAAUUUAUUAUGUUGAAGCCCCUCUUUAAUUGCAAAUUUGAGGUUGAUAAAAUCAUUAUUUAAUGUCUGAAUUUGAUAAUAUUUUUUUGUAUUGUUCAACUUUGACCUUUAACUUCCUUAUUACCACUUCUGUUUACCACCAAUUUUUGGUCGCAAACCAAAUGGACCGUUUUCUAGUACCAUUAUUUUCACACCAACUACUUUGGAAUGAGUCUCCUUCUCUUGCGUCCCUCUCAAUUCUCAUUUUCAAAUUUACUUUAGUGUAUUUUUUUUUAAUUUAAAAAAAAUUAUUUACUUUAAAUAAGACAAACAAAUCAAAUAAAAAAUUGACGAUUUGAUCAAUUUAAUCGCUAACUUUUUUUGAAAAACAAUUGGUUAAUAAUACUUUAUUCAUGCAGAGGUACUAAAAUUGUCUUUUUAUUAUACUGAAUUGAGAUGUGUUGUGGUCGUAGUUUAAUUAUUGAGUGUUAUCCAUCAAGGUAUUAGCUGAUAAAAGUAUCAUGGAGGCUCUAAUAUUGAGAGUCAAAUUGUAUUUAACUCCUUUUAUUAAAAGAGUAAGUUAAUCCAUGUACAUUAGAUAGAAGAGUAAAUUGAUCAUUUUUAUUAAAAUGAUUCAUCUUUUUUUGUUGUUAAAAACUAACGUGGUUGGCAAAAUAAUCAGGCAAUACCUUAUGUUGAUUACAUGGAUCAAUUUUUAAUAAUAAUGGAUGAAAUUUUUUAAUAAAAGAACUAGUUUACUCUUUAAUCGGACCUACAAAGACUAAUUUAUUUAUUUUUUUAAGUAGAAAAUAUAAAAUACAAUCUGACCAAGAAUACAAGAAGAUACUUUUACUGAUAUUAUUAGGUUGAAGAUGAUGCUUCCGUGUUGUAUUGACGAUAACGAUGAAGUUAAUCAAUACAUUGUAUUUGUCAAGCAAAAUUAAUAAUAUAAGAAAAGUAUUCCAAUUUGGUAGAUUUAAAAAAAAGGAACAUGGUCGACAUGAAUUUCUUCGGUGGAAGGAUUGACCCACCAUAGAUUGGGAACUGCCACUUGACUGCUACUAAUAUCUGCAUUUCCAUCUAUAUAUGUAUGUAUAUAUAUAUAUAUAUAUAUAUAUGCUGGAACCUUGUUAUUACAUAAAAAUACAGGACGACUUCAUUUUCUUCUUCAAUGGCAGUGUCAGAAAUCUCGCGAUGUACUUAUCAUGUAUUCUUGAGUUUUAGAGGUGAAGAUACGCGCAAAAGUUUCACGGAUCAUCUUUACACAGCUUUGGUGCACUUAGGAAUUCGAACAUUUAGAGAUGAUGAGGAAAUCGAGAGAGGGAAUAACAUAAAAGAUGAAAUUGAAAAAGCAAUACUACACCACUCCAAAAUUUCUAUCGUUGUUUUCUCAAAGAAUUAUGCUGCAUCCACAUGGUGUCUUAACGAACUUGUAAUGAUAUUGGAGCACAAGAAAUCCUCUAAACAUAUUGUGUUGCCAGUUUUCUAUGAUGUGGAUCCCAGUCAAGUCAAGAACCCGACGGGAAGUUAUGCAGAAGCAUUUACCCAACAUGAACAAAACUUCGAGUCCAUGGUACAAAGAUGGAGGAAUGCUUUAAAAGAAGUUGCGGAUAUAGGAGGCAUGGUUCUACAAGACAGGUACGUUAUACACAUAAUCAGGUUCCAUAUGGUUACUUCAAUCCUUUUCAUUAAGACUUGAUAGAGUAGAAAUAAAAUUAAUAGAAAAUAUUGUUAGGUAGCGUUUGGAAAUUAAAAUGGUUACUUCAAUCCAUUUUAAAGGGUUAAUUAUAAUUCAGAUUUUAAAUUAUUUCUCAAAUAUUAAAAUGUUUUAAUUGAUUUAUUAAAGUAUUAGUAUUGUAUCAACAAGGUCUUUCUAUCAAACAAAUCAUCACCUUAAGCAUUAAAUGUUAGCUCGAAUCUAAUGUGGGAUGUUUUUAGAACACAUAGAUCAAGUUUUAAAUACGUUUGCACCUAUCACAUGAACAACUUGGAUUUGACGAGUUGAAAACAAAAAAAAAAGAAACUCUUGAAUUUAAUGACACUAUUUUUGAUUUUCUAAGAUGUCAUUGUUGGUAAUGCAAAAGAAUAUUUUGAAUUGUGGAAAAUCCUCUAACCGUUGCAGAAAACAUUUUUAGAAUAUUUUCAGUUAGGAAAAUCCUUUGCUAUUUUUGGAAACUAAAACUAUUAUUUUACCAUUUUGCCCAUCAAAAAAUAGUAUAAAUAGGAGGCGGUUCUCCCACCUAACACAACAAGAGAAAAACAACUUCGCUAUGUUCUCUAAAUUCUAGUGUUCUGCAAAAUUACACGAGAUGGAAAUUUUGUCUAAGAGAUUAGGUUUUAAGCGGGACUGUUUGUGACCCCUUUAAUCUUUCUUGGGAAUUGAAUUUUUUUUUUCCGGGAAGAGUAAUGUCAAUCGUGUUCCACCUUCUUUAUUCGGGUGUAUGAAUAUUGGAGUAUUGUGUUGGGGGGUAACGUCCACUACACGAUUACAUCGGUCAAGGCGAAUUUAUCUCUACUGCAGUGGUUCUUCCACGACACAAUGAUUCUUAUUUUAUUUACAUUCAGUUUGGUCUCCUGUAACAAUUCUAUUUUGCAGUACUAUAUUUCCAACAAUCAUAUCCAAGUUAUUCGUGUAAUAGGUCUACACAUAUUCAAAAUGUUACAAUGAAUAAAAUAUAUAUAUAAAUUCAUGUAAAUAACAUGAAUUUAUUAAACUUUCACAAAGUGAAAGUUGAAAUUUUGAGUAUAGGUUGUUUCUCGAACGAAUUUCAUUAAUUUUUAUGUUGUUUUAUUUGAUUUGAUUUUAAAUGUAAUAAUUCUAUCGAAAUGUUGCAUUAGUUUCUUAUUUUUACUUUAACAUAUAAUCUCAUAAAAACAAUCAAAAUAUAUGCAAGAACAGAGAAAAAACAUUAGUAACAUUUACAUAAUUUCCAAGAUUUUACCAUUGAUCAGUUGUAUUUUUCAAAUUUGCAGGCAUGAAUCACAAUUCAUCCAAGAUAUUGUUAAAGAAGUUCAAAAUAAACUUAAUCUUAUUUCUUUGUAUGUCCCUCCUUAUUUAGUUGGAAUAGAUUCUCUCGUGACACAAAUUAAUCAAUUGUUAGAACAAGAUGGAGCAAAUAAAGUUGGCAUUGCAACUAUUUGUUGGCAUUGCAACUAUUUGUGGCAUUGGAGGCAUUAGGAAGACAACCAUUGCCAAAGUUGUUUACAAUCAAAACAUCCCGAGGUUUGAAGGUUAUAGUUUCCUUGCUGAUGUUAGAGAAACAAGUCAAGAUUGCAAUGGUUUAGUCCGUUUGCAAAGGCAACUUAUUUCAGAUAUCCUUAAAGGAAAAUCACAUAAAAUAUUCAAUAUAGAUAAUGGAAUUAACAAGAUCAAAGAAAUUGUAUGUUGUAGAAGAGUUCUUCUUGUUCUUGAUGAUGUUGAUGGAUUGGAAAAAAAUAAGAAAAUUUAAAUGGGAACUCAAAUUCCUUUUCAUCCGGGAAGUAAAAUCAUCAUAACUAGUAGAAACCGAUGCCUANNNNNNNNNNNNNNNNNNNNNNNNNNNNNNNNNNNNNNNNNNNNNNNNNNNNNNNNNNNNNNNNNNNNNNNNNNNNNNNNNNNNNNNNNNNNNNNNNNNNNNNNNNNNNNNNNNNNNNNNNNNNNNNNNNNNNNNNNNNNNNNNNNNNNNNNNNNNNNNNNNNNNNAUGCAAGAAGUUUAGUGAAACACUGUGGUGGGCUUCCGUUAGCUCUUCAAGUUUUGGGCUCUUCAUUAUCUAGCAAAAGUGUGAGUUCUUGGAAAAGUGCAUUGGAGAAAUUGGAAGAAAUCCCUGACAGCAAAAUUCAAGAGAUUCUAAGAAUAAGCUAUGAUUCUUUGGAAGACGAUCAUGACAAAAAUUUAUUCCUUGACGUAGUUUGUUUAUUCAUUGGGAAGGAUAGAGAUUACACGACUACAAUUCUAGAUGGUUGUGAUUACUAUACAACAAUUGGAAUUGAAAAUCUAGUAGGCAGGUCUCUCUUAAUCAUUAAUGAAAAAAACAAGCUAAUGAUGCACCAAAUGAUUAGAGAUAUGGGACGAGAAAUUAUUCGUCAAGAAUCUUCUGAUAUUGGGAAACGAAGCAGAUUGUGGCAUAAGAAGAUGUAAUAAGAGAAAAAACUGUAAGAACAUCAUUUUACUCAACUUCUUUCUUGUGUGCAUUUAAACUUUUUUUUUUCAAAUUUCCUUUUACUUUGUAAAAAAGUUUUUCUGAUGCAGGGUUCCAGAACAGUUAAGUGCCUCACAAUUGACCUAAAAGGAUUGCUAGAAGACAAGGCUACAAGGACAAAUACAACUCUACAUUUUCCAAAGCAUUUCAUAAGUCAGUUUCUCAUGGCGAAUGAUGUUGAUAUGGAAACUCAAGCAUUUGCAAAGAUGAAGAGACUUAAACUGCUUCAACUGGAUUAUGUAAGACUUAAAGGAGACUUCAAAGACUUUCCCAAAAGAUUAAGAUGGUUACGUUGGCAUGGGUUUUGUAUGCAAUCUUUUCCGGUGGAUUUCGAUAUCAAUGAACUAGUUGUUCUCGACAUGCGCAACAGUAAACUUAAACAAGUUUGGAAGGAUACAGAGGUAUGAUAUAUACUAAUUUUCCUUCUUUUUGUGUUUGUGAGAAACAAUAAUAUAUAAAUGAAGGGUUUUCUUUUUUUGCAGUGCCUCCCAAAUUUAAAGAUCCUUAAUCUCAACCAUUCACAUAGCCUUCUUAAAACCCCAAGCUUUUCAGGACUCCCUAGCCUUGAGAAGUUGAUGCUCAAAGAUUGCAUAAAUUUGGUGGAAGUUGAUCAAUCCAUUGGUGAGCUAAAGAUGCUUACUUUCUUGAACCUUAAAGAUUGCACAAGUCUUAGGAAACUUCCAAGGACAAUUGGUUCAUUAAUAUCACUUGCAGAGCUUAUUUUAUCUGGUUGUUCAAGACUUGAUGAUGUCCCCAGGGAGUUGCAUAAUAUGAAAUCAUUGAAGGUGCUUAAUUUAGAUGACACUUCCAUAUGUCAAACAAGAUUGGGAUUGCAUUGGCUCUUACCGAAAAGAAGUAAAGAAUUGGGUUUCUUGGGCGUCUCUACCGUGCUCUUUGGUAAAGUUAAACCUUGAAAGUUGCAAAUUAUCUGAUGAUGUUAUGCCCAAUGAUCUUUACAACUUAGCUUCAUUGAAAUCCUUAAAUUUAAGUAGAAACCCAAUUCGUUACCUUCCCGAAAGCAUAAAAAAACUUACAAAACUUGAUGAACUUCUACUGACUUCUUGCACUGAACUCCAAAAGAUUCCAAAGCUUCCAGUCUUGCCCAAUGUUUUUGAGUUCUUGACAGUAUCUCCAUUUAAAGGAUAUUGGGCAAUUCUUCCAUGCUUCUUUUCUUCCACACGAUGUGUUAUUUUUGGAUGUGAAAAAUUGACCGAGGUUCAAGAUAUAUUCAAAUUGAAACCAAUUGAAAACUUUGAAGAAGAAGAAAUUCGAAGAUUAUUCAACCUGGAUUCCAUUAGCAGAAAUCGACUGCAACUUUAUAGCUACCUAACAGACAGCAUAAUGCUUGCUACCCCACAGGUCCAACAGUUCUCCAACUUAAAUUUUAACUUUAUUUUUUUUCUCUUAUAUUACUUAAUGAACACAUUUUUAAUCAUCUAACAUGUUUUUUUUUUGGAUCAGGUCUUGCAGGAAUGUGGUAUAACAAGCACAUUUGUUAUAGGAAGUGAAGUUCCGAUUGUGUUUAAGCAUCGCACUAAUGAGCACCGAAUCUCUUUUUCUUUGCCAACACCAUCUCAUCCAGAUGAAAAGAUCCAUCGGUUCAGCUUAUGCAUUGUUUUCUCUCUAGCUCGUGAUCAAAUAUUGGAGUUUCUACCAAGUGUCCACAUUUUCAAUGAGACCAAAAGGAUCAUGCAGAGAUAUGGCUCAAGUUUCAUCGGAAUUCCUGAGACUAACGAUAACACAAUGUUGUGGUUGAUCCAUUGGCCAGUAACGGAUUGUGAGUUUGAAGGUGGUGACCUUGUGAGUUGCAUGGUAGUGCCUAUUCAUCUCAGCAUAAGAAAAUUUGGCGUUACUUAUGAAUCACAACACAACGUUAGAAAUAAAUAUGGCUUUUCACACUUAUCUACAGGUAUGACUAUGACUCCAAGUGAUUAUGUUUAUGGAAUAUUACCCCAUGCACUAUUAACACUUAUCUAAACUAAAGAUAUAUCCUUAUUGAAAUAAAAUUUUUUUUGACAAAGAAAAUAAUAAAUUAUAUGAAUAUUUAAUGUGGUUUCAAUGACAAGAUUAUAUAUUAGUGAAUACAUCCUAUUAUUUUUUUAAUGUUUCGUUUUAGAUGUAAAUAACAAAUGAUUAAGAAAUGAUAAAUGUUGCAAUUGGGAUUUAAUUAAAAUAAUUUAAUUGUUUGAAAAAUGAUUAAUCCUAUUGUUAGUUUACAAGUCUUAUAAUACAUUUUAGUGAUAUAAUAUUCGUAUUUUGAUUUUUUUCAUAUAAUAUUAAGAGAAAGGGAUGGGGUCACACGGUUUGAAUCUGUAUCAAAUAGAUGUUGGACAAAAGCUUGAACCAGCAACCUAUUCAAGUCAAGACUACUAUUUUAAUAUUCUAAUAUGCAUAUCAUGUUGAUGAUCACUAGAAUUGAUAAAUAACACAUUAUUGUACAUAUUUUAGGAGAUGAAGUUGCCACAAGAAAUAUGAUGAUGGAUCUAACUAAAGACUUACCCAGUUUGGAAUCUUAUGGAAAUGUUAAAGUGCAACUUUGCAGUUAUAUAGAAGAAUCAAAAGUGGUUGCUUCCCCACAGGUUCCCUUUACAAGUUUCAACUUUUAAAAAAUAUUUAUAUACUAUUUUUUAAAAUCUUAUUCAAUAACCCAAUGUUACAGGUAUUAUACGAUUACGGCAUAAUUACAAUAGUUGAUCCAUUGCCAUUUGAUUACAAUGGCCACUAUUUUGGCCAUCAAGCUGGCAAGACUGAGGUUUCAAUAUCAGUGCCCCCAAACUCUAGUCGAAAGAUAAGUUGCUUCUUAAAUUCGAUUAUCAUUUUUUCUGCCAAGAAUGAUAAAACAUAUAGAUUUUUACCAUGCCUUGAAAUUGUGAACGAGACCAAAGGUACAAAGUGGACCUACUCCAAACAUUUCAUGGGAAUUCCUGAAAUUAAGAAUACCUUAUACUGGACGACUUGUUGGAACUUUAGGGGUGAUGAACUAGAAGCUGGUGAUUGUAUUAGUCUGCGGGUUCUUUCAAAUUUAUCUGUACUAGAAUUUGGGAUUGACCUUGUAUAUGAUUAUGAGCUAGAUGGUAACCCAAAUUUUUUCAGUCAGUUACCAUGGAUGAGUAAAUGUUUUACGUAUCUUUUCGGGACUUUUGUUUCUCUGUUGUCACAAUCCCAAAAAAACUUGUAUAGGUUGCAAAGUUUAGUCAAAUGCUGAUUAUUGUAGGAAUUGAAAUGGAGCAAAUGAAUAUUUUGGUUUAGUCAUUGCCGCCUUGGCUUGGCUGAUUUCAUCUUAUAUUUAAUCUCUAAUUCUUAUGUAUGCUAUCGAUAUUGAUUUUUGCUCAAGUUCUUCAAUGAAGCACCUUGUUCUUGGUAAUUCAAUUAACUUGUGCUUUUAACCAGAUGUCGUGGAGUUAUUUUUAACUAUUAUUAGGCUAAAUCUUUAGAGAAAAUGGUGAUUUCUAUUUAUGUUUCUAAUAUUCACGCCUGUUUUCAUUGGAAGGGACUCUGGAAAAUCUCUAAGUACCAUGGCAAAGUGUUGGGUGUUUAUUCCUAACAAUAGGAAUUGAAAAGAUCUAUCUUUUGGUUUUGUAAGAUUUGCAAGAAUUAUGGAUGCUAAGAGGGCGAUUAGUAGACUUAAUUGAUUUUGUAUAUAUGGAAGUAAAGUGAAUGUGAACUUAGCUCGCUUUGAGGGAAGAGUGGUGUACUAAAAGAAAGUUGAAAAUGGUAAGCUAGGAGGUGAUGAUCGUAGAGAUGAAUUAGGAGUAGAAAACGAGAAAAAGCAUUCUUGGGAGAUGAUUUGAUUACUAUUUGUGGAACACUAGUUCCUAUAACUACAUAUGCUUGUUCAUAAUAGUUAUCUUAAAAUAUCGAACAAAUAUCAAUUGGAUGUUCUGGUUUAAAUAUAUAAUUUCAAGAGAAUGUAUUCGUACCUCAUUCUACCCAAGAUUUAUGUCAAAUCCAAACUGUUGUGAGUUGUUAGCCAUGAUGAAAAUCAAUUCUGUAACAGUUUAAUAGGGUGGAGUUAGAAAAUUUUUUGAAGGGAGGCCGAAAUAAAAUUAUAUAUUUUUAUAACAAUAAAAGUAAAAUUUUACUAUUUUAAUAGUCUACAUCUUUAUAAUUUUUAAAAAAUUAAAUUAAAAAUUUUUCGUUUUCACUCCAACUGUUUCACUCAACAUAAUAAAUUCAUUUAAAGUAGUGAAGACGAUGGGAUAAGCUAAUGUUGAUCGUAUGGGAUGUGAAAAAGCAAGUAAGAGCAGUAGACUAUGAAAACUCGUAAUAUAUUUAUAAACAUUUCUUACGUUACAUUUCAACCACCUCUUUAAUUCCACCAGAAUCCGGUACUACUCGCUCUUGAGUGUAAUUAUUCGAAUAGGGAUCAUAUCUCUUUUAUAGUGGAAUACUACUUUGUCUUAUUACAUGGGCUUGUUCAUAAGAGUUCUCUUAGAAUAUCGAACAAAUAUCAGUUGGGUAUUCUGGUUUAAAUAUUUAAUUUUCAAGAGAAUAUAUUCUUACUUCACUCUGUCCUCUCGAAGAUUCAUGUCAAAUCCAAACUGACGUGACGUGAGUUGAUAGUCAUGAUAGAAAUCAAUUCUCUAGCAUUUCAACGAGUUUUGCUCGUAAGUAAAAGUCUUUCGUAAAAAUAUUAGAUAAGUAAUUGGUAAAAAAUUUAAUUCAAAAGGCAACUAGUAAAGAGCUCUUUAAUAUUUUUCAACAUUCAUAAAGGGUUUUUAUGUACUUUUAUUGAAUGGAAUAGAUUUUUUUUUUCCUAAUAGAGGAACCACGAGAAGCAAAAUCUUUUCCAAAGAAUAUUCUUAGUUGAUCUAUUCAAAAUGUACUUGGCAACCAGUUCUUGCAAAGAAAAUCAUAAUAAUUUUUCCUGUUUGAAAUCCUAAAAAUCUUUUAAAUCAACCCAAUCAUCUCAUUCAAAUACUUUAUUAAUUUUACACAAAUUAUUCUUCGCAUCAACAAAUAUUAUUUAUCACCCACUUUCAUGCAAAAUUAUUUUUACUAUGCAAGGAAUUGUCUCCAUGAAUUACUGUCAUCUUUUAGUUUAAGAUGAGUAAAUUUCAACCAGUAAUAACUUUCUUGAUGAACACCAUAUCUAUUUUGAUGAUAUGACAUGCUUUCUUUUGGUUCAAGAAAGGCAAUCAAUGACUUGAAAUUGAACCAUGAUUUUAAAGGACUUGGGUUUAUAUAAGUGGUAAUUCAAUUUCCUUUUCCUUGUUGGAAAAGGAAUUCCAUUUUGACUUUAACAGUGAUUUUUAAGUUGUUGUUUUCUUAUUGUUAAUUAUUUAAAAAAUAAUCGCAUUUUAACUUGUAAACUUAAAUCUUAAACUAUUAUCAUUAUGUUUACUUUCUGAUGAUAAUUAACAAAAAUAUUUGGUUUUAAAAUUUUAAUACAAUCAAUGAAACGCAAUUCACAUAUAUGAAUAAUGAUGAAAUUUGACGUGAUUAAAAAAAUAUUAAAUUUUGUUAUAUUUUUAAUAAUGAAUAUAGGUAAAAUGGUAAUAAACCGGCAUUUUAAUGUCAUUUAAAACGUGUCAAAUAAAUAUUAGAUUAGAUAUUCAAUAUUAAUAAUCAAUAUAUAUUAAUUGAAUUAGACAUUAUAAUUAGUCAUGACUGUCGAAAUUUAAAAUUGUAAAAAUUAAUAUAUAUUGAAUUAAAUGACUACUAUACAUAAUCUUAUUCAAAUAAUAAUAAUGAAAAAAAGAGUGUUUAAGACAAUUUCGUUGUAUUUGUUUGUUCUAUGAUCCAACUAUGGUAGGUAAGCGUGAUGUAGGCUCAUCGUACUCCCAUCCAGUGGCUUUAAUUUGCUCUAAUGGAAUCGAAAAUGAAUCAAUCCUUUUAACUUCUUCUUCUUCCUCUUCAUCAUCGGAAAUCGACUUUAUUUCUAAAAAAAGUUUUGGGUCGAUUUUGGAGUUCCAAUCAAUAUCAUCGAUAUACAUAUCAGCUGCAUUACUUGGCAACUUAUUUGUGAAAGGAAAACGAUGAUAAUACUCCCAGAAUCUCUGUUUUGCUUCUUGGAAAGCUUUUAAACCAGCUGAAUCAUCCCAUUCGAAUACUUUAUCUAUUUUGAACAAAUUAUUCUUUGAUUCAACAAAUCUUUUCCAUGGCAUUGCACCCACUUUUAUGCAUAAAUUUUUCUCCCAUGAGGUAAUGGUUCCCAUGAAUUAUAGUUAUCAUUCAGUUUGAGACGAGUAAAUUUCGGACUGUAGUACCUUUCUGGGCGAUUAUGAUAUCUUCUUUGAUAGUAUGGCAUGAUUUCUUAUAAUCCAAACAAAUAAAUGAAUUGAAAUCGCUAAUGAUUUGAAUUUACAGUGAGGAGACCUGUUGGGUUUAUAUAAUCUUAUUAGAGUCGGUGGUGACUCAAUCCAUUUCCUUGUUGGAAAAGGAAUUCUAAUUUCAGUUUGACUAUGAUUUCUAUUUUCUAAAUUUUUGUAUAAUAAAAUUUUUAAAAAAUAACUAUAUCUGUAUUGAUUCGUUUCCCUCUGAUUGAUACGUUACAUCCCUAGCUUCUCUAGAAUCCUCAUUAACUAUCUGAUCUCUUCACCCAUUGGUGUUCCCCCAAGAGUGUUUUUUCUCGUUUUCUCCUCCUAAUUCAUCUCCACGAUCAUCACCUCCUAGCUUACCGUUUUCAACUUUCUUCCAGUACACCACUUUUCCCUUAAAGCGAGCUAAGUUCACAUUUACUUUACUUCCAUAUAUACAGAAUCCAUUAAGUUUACUAAUUGGCCACUUAUCAUCCACAAUGCUUGCAAAUCUUACUAAAACAAAACGUAUGUAGACCUUUUCGAUGCCUUUUGUUAGGAAUAAACGCGUCCAACACUUUGCCAUGGAACUCAGAGAUUUUCCAUGGUCCCUUCCAAUGAAAACAAGAAGGAAGAUUAGAAACAUAAACUGAAAUCACCAUUUUCUCUAAGGAUUUAGCCUAGUAAUAGUUAACAAUAACUCCACGGCAUCUGAUUAAAAGCACAAGUUAAUUGAAUUACCAAGAACAAUGUUCUUCAAUACUAUUCCAAAUUCAAUUUUGGAACUUCUGUUAUCAUAGCUUUCAACUAUUUGAAACUCUGUUGGCAUUAUUCAAUCACACAUAACUAACAUUUUCUGUAGCAACUUCGUCAUGGUAGAGCUAUCAUCGACAAGCCUGAACAAAUCACCUGUAGUAUACAAUAAAUCCUAGAGAACUACACACUUCUAUAUUAUUUUUCAGAGAUUCCCUAAUUCACAUUUAUCAGGAGUUUAUUCGAAAUAACUCAAAUAUCUUCUGCUGUUAAUAAAAGGUUUAGAAAACUUAUUUCUUGAAAUUAAAAUUCACAUUUAUUGAUUUUCACAAAUAAUUAUUUCUCUCGUAAUAUCUGUACGUAACACUGUUUUUCCAAUACUAAUCGUGUUCAAAUUUUUUCUUCACAUGAAUUGAGUAUCUUUAAUUAUAUAGCAACAACUCUGAUAAGAUACAACUAGAAACUUUUUGUCUAUUAAAUAUAUAAAGUGACUAUGCAAUUGAUAAUCAUAUACAAUAAUCAACAUUUGUCUAAACUUUGCAACCUAUACAAGUCUUUUUGGGAUUUCGACGAAACAUAAACAAAAAUCCCGAGAAGAUACUUAAAACAUUUACUCAUCCAUGGCAACUGACUGAAAAAAUUUGGGUUGUCUUCUAGCUCAUAAUCAUAUACAAGGUUAAUACCAAAUUCUAGCACAGAUAAAUCUGAAAGAACCCGAAGACUAAUAUGAUCACCAGCUUCUAAUUCAUCACUUCUAAAGUUCCAACAAGUCGUCCAGUAUAAGGUAUUCUUAGUUUCAGGAAUUCCCAUGAAAUGUUUGGAGUAGGUCCACUUUGUACCUUUGGUCUCGUUCACAAUUUCAAGGCAUGGUAAAAAUCCAUAUGUUUUAUCAUUCUUGGCAGAAAAAAUGAUAAUCGAAUUUAAGAAGCAACUUAUCUUUCGACUAGAGUUUGGGGGCACUGAUAUUGAAACCUCAGUCUUGCCAGCUUGAUGGCCACAGUAAUGACCAUGGUAAUCAAAUGGCAAUGGAUCAAAUGUUGUAAUUAUACUGUAAUCAUAUAAUACCUGUAGCAUUGGGUUAGAGAAUGAGUUAUUAAAAAGUAUAUAGUAUAUAAAUAAUUUUAAAAACUUGGAACUUGUAAAGGGAACCUGUGGGGAAGCAAUCACUUUAGAUUCUUCUAUAUAACUGCAAAGUUGCACUUUAACAUUUCCAUAAGAUUCCAAACUGGGCAAGUGUCUAGUUAGGUCCAUCUUGAUAUUUCUUGUGGAAACUUCAUCUCCUAAAAUAUGUACAAUAAUGUGUUAUUUAUCAAUUUUAGUGAUCAUCAACAUAAUUUACUUAUUAAAAAAAUAAUAGUAUUGACUUGAAUGGAGUGAUAAUUAUCAAACACCCAUUUGACAAGAAUUCAAAUCGUGACCCAUCCCCAAUACUCAAUAUUGUAUGAAAAAAAGAUAUCAAAAUAGUAAUGUUAUUAUCACUAAAAUAUAUUAUAAGACUUGUAAGAAAUAAUCAAUUAUACACAUUAAAUAACUUUAAAACUAUUAAAUAAGUUAAUCAAAACACCACUUUUAUAAUUUUAUCCAUUAUUUUAGUUUCCACUUCUAUUAGCUAUUGGAUUAAUCAUUUAUCAAACAAUUAAAUUAUUUUCAUUAGACCCCAAUUGCAGCAUAACUUUAUAAUUAUCAUUUUAUUAUUAAGCUAAAUUUCUCUCAUAAUCUAUUAAAUUGUCACAUUUCUUGAUAAUAUUUUUUAUUGUAUUAGAAAGUCUUUUAGAGAAACAUUCAUCAUUUCUUGAACAUUUGUUAGUCACAUAUAAAAUAAAUAUAAUAGGACGUAUUUACUAAAAUAUAAUUAUUUGAAGUCUACUCAUACCUGUAGAUAAGUGCGAAAAGCCAUAUUCAUAUCUAAUGUUGUGUUCUGAUUCAUAAGUAACGCCAAAUUUUCUUAUGCUGAGAUGAAUAGGCACUACCGCGCAACUCACAAGGUCACCAGCUUCAAACUGACAGUCCGUUACUGGCCAAUGAAUCAACCACAACAUUGUGUUAUCGUUAGUCUCAGGAAUUCCAAUGAAACUUGAGCGAUAUCUCUGCAUGAUCCUUUUGGUCUCAUUGAAAAUGUGGACACUUGGUAUAAGCUCCAACAUUUGAUCACUAGCUAAAGAGAAAACAAUGCAUAAGCUGAACCGAUGGAUCUUUUCAUCUGGAUGAGAUGGUGUUGGCAAAAAAAAAGAGAUUCGAUGCUCGGUAGUGCCAUGCUUAAACCCAAUCGGAACUUCACUUCCUACAACAAAUGUGCUUGUUAUACCACAUUCUUGCAAGACCUGAUCCAAAAAGAACUAGUUAGAUGAUUAAGUAGUAUAAGAGAAAAAAUAGAUUUAAAAUUUAACUUGGAGAACUAUUGGACCUGUGGGGUAGCUAGCAUUAUGCUGUCUGUUAGGUAGCUAUAAAGUUGCAGUCGAUUUCUGUUAAUGGAAUCCACUUUGAAUAAUCUUCUAAUCUCUUCUGCUUCAAAGUUUUCAAUUGGUUCCAACUUGAAUAGAUCUUCAACCUCAGUCAACUUUUCACAUCCAAAAAUAAUACAUCGUGUGGAAGAAAAGAAGCAUGGAAUAAUUACCGUAUAUCCAUGAAAUGAAGAAUUGUCUCCAAAAAUAAACUUGCACUCAAAAACAUUGAGCAAGACCGGAAGCUUUGGAAUCAUUUGGAGUUCAGUGCAAGAAGUCAAUAGAAGUUCUUCAAGUUUUGUAAGGUUUUUUAAGCUCUCGGGUAGGUAAUGAAUUGGGUUUCUACUUAAAUUUAAGGAUUUCAAGGAAGCCAAGUUACAAAGAUCAUUGGGCAUGACAUCAUUAGAUAAUUUGCAACUUUCAAGGCUUAACUUUACCAAAGAGUCCGGUAGAGAUGCCCAAGAGAAACCCAAUCCUUUGCUUCUUUUCAGUAAGAGCCAAUGCAACCCCAAUCUUGAUUGAUAUAUGGCAGUUUCAUCUAAAUUAAGCACCUUCAAUGAUUCCAUAUUAUGCAACUCCCUAGGAACAUCAUCAAGUCUUGAACAACCAGAUAAGAUAAGCUCUUCAAGUGAUAUUAAUGAACCAAUUGUCCUUGGAAGUUUCCUAAGACUUGUGCAAUCUUUAAGGUUCAAGAAAGUAAGCAUCUUUAACUCACCAAUGGAUUGAUCAAUUUCCACCAAAUUUAUGCAAUAUUUGAGCAUCAACUUCUCAAGGCUAGGGAGUCCUGAAAAGCUUGGGGUUUUAAGAAGGCUAUGUGAAUGGUUGAGAUUAAGGAUCUUUAAAUUUGGGAGGCACUGCAAAAAAAGAAAGCCCUUCAUUAAUUAUAUAUUAUUGUUUCACACACACACAAAAAGGAGUAUUAGUAUAUAUCAUACCUCUGUAUCCUUCCAAACUUGUUUAAGUUUACUGUUGCGCAUGUCGAGAACAACUAGUUCAUUGAUAUCAAAAUCCACCGGAAAAGAUUGCAUCCAAAACCCAUGCCAACGUAACCAUCUUAAUCUUUUGGGAAAGUCUUUGAAGUCUCCUUAAGUCUUACAUAAUCCAGUUGAAGCAGUUUAAGUCUCUUCAUCUUUGCAAAUGCUUGAGUUUCCAUAUCAACAUCAUUUGCCAUCAGAAACUGACUUUUGGAAUGCUUUGGAAAAUGUAGAGUUGUAUUUGUCCUUUUAGCCUUGUCUUCUAGCAAUCUUUUUAGGUCAAGUGUGAGGCACUUAACUGUUCUGGAACCCUGCAUCAGAAAAACUUUUUUAAAAAAUAAAAAGAAAUUUGAUAAAAAAAAAGUAGAUUACAUGCACACAAGAAAAAAGUUGAGUAAAAUGAUGUUUCUUACAAUUUUUUCUCUUAUUACAUCAAAGGCGUUCUUAUGCCACAAUCUGCUUCGUUUCCCAAUAUUAGAAGAUUCUUGACGAAUAAUUUCUCGUCCCAUAUCUCUAAUCAUUUGGUGCAUCAUUAGCUUGUUUUUUUCAUUAAUGAUUAAGAGAGACCUGCCUACUAGAUUUUCAAUUCCAAUUGUUGUAUAGAAAUCACAACCAUCUAGAAUUGUAGUCGUGUAAUCUCUAUCCUUCCCAAUGAAUAAACAAACUAUGUCGAGGAAUAAAUUUUUAUCAUGAUCGUCUUCCAAAGAAUCAUAGCUUAUUCUUAGAAUCUCUUGAAUUUUGCUGUCAGGGAUUUCUUCCAAUUUCUCCAAUGCACUUUUCCAAGAACUCACACUUUUGCUAGAUAAUGAAGAGCCCAAAACUUGAAGAGCUAACGGAAGCCCACCACAGUGUUUCACUAAACUUCUUGCAUAUGCCAUUAAACUUUCAGGCACAGAGUUAUGACCAAAAGCAUACCAAUUAAAAAGUUGCAGCGAUUCACUUGAUGCUAAUUCUUUUACUUCAAAUAGCUUGCUUAAGCCUCCACAACUAGUUGAUGCUUCCAACUCAAACAUUUGGCUUAUAAAAUGUGCAUUCAAUAGGCAUCGGUUUCUACUAGUUAUGAUGAUUUUACUUCCCAAAUGAAAAGGUAUUUGAGUUCCCAUUAAUUUUCUUAUUUUUUCCAAUUCAUCAACAUCAUCAAGAACAAGAAGAACUCUUCUACAACAUACAAUUUCUUUGAUCUUGUUAAUUCCAUUAUCUAUAUUGUAUAUUUUAUAGUGUAUUUCCUUUAAGGAUAUCUGAAAUAAGUUGCCUUUGCAAACGGACUAAACCAUUGCAAUCUGGACUUGUUUCUCUAACAUCAGCAAGGAAACUAUAACCUUCAAACCUCGGGAUGUUUUGAUUGUAAACAACUUUGGCAAUGGUUGUCUUCCCAAUGCCGCCAAUGCCACAAAUAGUUGCAAUGCCAACUUUAUUUGCUCCAUCUUGUUCUAACCAUUGAUUAAUUUGUGUCACGAGAGAAUCUAUUCCAACUAAAUAAGGAGGGACAUACAAAGAAAUAAGAUGAAGUUUAUUUUGAACUUCUUUAACAAUAUCUUGAAUGAAUUGUGAUUCAUGCCUGCAAAUUUAAAAAAUACAACUCAAUGGUAAAAUUUUAGAAAUUAAGUAAAAGUUACUAAUGCAUUUUCUCUUUUCUUGCAUAUAUUUUGAUUGUUUUUAUGAGAUUAUAUGUUCAAAUAAAAAUAAGAAACUAAUGCAACAUUUCAACAUAUAUGAUAGAAUUAUUGCAUUCAAAAUCAAAUCAAAUCAAAUAAAGCAACAUAAAAAUUAAUGAAAUUCAUUUGAGAAACAACCUAUACUCUAAAUUUCAACUUUCUCUUUGUGAAAGUUUAAUAACAUGAAUUUAUAUAUUUAUUUUUUAUUCAUUGUAAUAUUUUGAAUAUGUGUAGACCCAUUACACGAAUAACUUAGAUAUAAUUGUUGCAAAUAUACUACUGCAAAAUAGAAUUGUUACAAGAGACCAAACUGAAUGUCAAUAAAAUAAGAAUCAUUGUGUCGUGAAAGAAUCACUGCAUUAGAGGCAAAUUCGCCUUGAUCGGUGUAAUCGUAUAGUGGACGUUACCCCCCAACAAAAUACUCCAAUAUUCGUACACCCGAAGGUGGAACAUGAUUAACAUUACUUUUCCCAAAAAAAAAGUUCAAUUCCCAAGAAAGAUUAAGGAGGUCACAAACAGUCUCGCUUAAAACCUAAUCUCUUAGACAAAAUUUCCCUCUCGUGUAAUUUUGCAGAACACUAGAAUUUAGAGAACAUAGAGAAGUUGUUUUUCUCUUGUUGUGUUAGGUGGGAGAAUGACCUCCUAUUUAUACUGUUUUUUGAUGGGCAAAAUGGUAAAAUAAUAGUUUUAAUUUCCAAAAAUAGUAAAUGAUUUUCCUAACUGAAAAUAUUCUAAAAAUAUUUUCUGCAACGAUUUUCUGCAAUUCAAAAUAUUCUUUUGCAUUAUCAACAAUGACAUCUUAGAAAACCACAAAUAGUGUCAUUAAAUUCAAGAGGCUAUUUCUUUUUGUUUUCAACUCGUCAAAUCCAAGUUGUUCAUGUGAUUUAAAAACAUCCCACAUUAGAUUCGAGCUAAUAUUUAAUGCUUAAGCUGAUGACUUGUUUGAUAGAAAGACCAUAUUCAUACAAUACUAAUAUUUUAAUGACUCAAUUAAAACAUGUUAAUGUUUCUGAGUUAUAAUUAACCCUUUAAAAUGGAUUGAUGUAACCAUUUUAAUUUCCAAACGCUACCUAACAAUAUUUUCUAUUAAUUUUAUUUCUACUCUAUCAAGUCUUAAUGAAAAGGAUUGAAGUAACCAUAUGGAAUUGGAUUAUGUGUAUAACGUACCUGUCUUGCAGAACCAUGCCUCCUAUAUCCGCAACUUCUUUUAAAGCAUUUCUCCAUCUUUGUACCAUGUUGGUUUCGGACUCGAAGUUUUGUUCAUGUUGGGUAAAUGCUUCUGCAUAACUUCCCGUCUGAUUCUUGACUUGACUCGGAUCCACAUCAUAGAAAACUGGCAACACACUAUGUUUAGAGGAUUUCUUGUGCUCCAAUAUCAUUACAAGUUCGUUAAGACACCAUGUGGAUGCAGCAUAAUUCUUUGAGAAAACAACGAUAGAAAUUUUG